rnacentral:lncRNA from 1 species
UUUUUUUUUUUUUUUUUUGUUUCCUACUUGACAUCUACUACUAUUACUAAUAAAACAUAUUUCCUAAAUAAAAGAAAGAAACUACAAGACAUAAUAUCUCAUGUUUUCUAAUCCAAUACUACUACUAAUAAAGAUAAUUAAAAUCUUCCAAAUCUUCAACCACAAGCUGUCCAUAAUUGAUUCGAACUGGAAAAUCCCUGUGUGCAGUAAAGUCCCAAGUUUUUUGGACUUGAACACAGGUUUCGAGCAUAAUUACGUUUUGCACAUUUUCCUACAAUUAGCACCAUUAACCAAAUAUAAGUAGAAUUUAUCAAUUAAUGUAAUAUUUGAACCGCGGCACUAAAAGCAUUCCAUUUGACAAAAACAAAAAAGCUAAGGAUAAUUAGUAUUUUAACUAAUUUUUUUAUGGGUCUAUCUAACAGAUAUCCAAAGAUAUAUUUUAGGCGCUAUAUUUUUGGAAACAUGAGAUUAAUUAAAGAAAAUAAAUAAAUAAAAGGAAAGGUAGUUGAAAUUAAAUAGGAAAAGUAUAUAAAUGCAAGGAAGGGUAAUAAUUAUUAGUAUGUGUAUAUAUACAUGGUACGUUAAGUGAACUUGUUAGAAAAACCUUUUUUGUAUAUGUAAAGCAUGAGGCCUUAUUUGGUGUAAAACUUUUCAUGAUUUUCUAUUAUCCAUUUUUACACUCACAUAAAUAAGUAUUUACACAACAUAACCAUCACAAAGAAAAUGUAGAUAGUUAUUAGAUUUUAAUAACUUUUGAAAUAUCUUACUAUAUAUAAAGCCAGAGGGAAGGGUUGGUGUAAACAAAAUCUAUCACUUAAUGUUGUGCCAAAUAUACCCUUAUUUCUUAAGGUAAGUACAUCGUUUUAACUAUCUACUUCCCUAUAACCGCUCUACAUCCUUACAAUUGUCAAAUUAACUGUAACUUCUCCAAAAUAAAUUGUCACUUUAAAACAUUUUUUUGGCAUCGUUGAACCAUUUUAAACUGCUACUUUCUAGCAAAAAUAAUUCUAACCAUGUUAAUAUCUUUUUAUUAGUUGUACACAUAUUGUGCGUGCCCUCAAGCACUAGUGACUAUAAACAUUUAGAGUUAGGGGUUUUGAAAAUGAAAUUUAUAGUUGACUUCUACUUUUUUUAUUAUAAAAAUAAAUAUUUCUUUAGUUUAAUUUGCACACCUAUAGGGUAUGCUUUUUCCACUAGUUUAAAUAAUAUGCCAUAAAUUAGUAGUGUGGUUUUGAAUUGCUAAGAUUGAUCCUAAGUAUAUGAAUGUUAAGAUAGAUACUUUACGAUCCUAACUUUAUGAUCGCUCUAAAAAAGGAAAGAUAGAUACUUUACGAUCCUAACUUUAUGAUCCCUCAAAAAAAAUGAAAGUUUUGGCAGUGCACAUUGCGAGUAACUACUACUAAUUCGUUAAGUGCAUGAUUGAGUGAUUAGACAAUUCAAAAUGUGUAAAAAUAUUACAAUUAUCUUAAUUCGUAAUCGAUUAUCCAUAGUAGCAACCAAUAGUUUCUAAGGUUAUACGAAUUUGAGACAGUGGAGACAACACAUGAUGUGAUCUACACUUGGACAUGAUCUAGACAACGAACACCGACAGUUUGGCAGCGAAAAUUUGACCCAAUCUAAUCCUCGAAAUAGCGAACAAUAUUGAUACUAUCUCAACCCACUACUUAACAAAUUAGCGAACCAAACUAUAGGUAGAGGAACGCCACAACCAAGGAGUUACUUGAUUGAUAAGUUUACUUGAAUAACUUGAGAAAGAUUCUCAAAUAUUCAAAGAAGCUCUCUUGGAAAGAGAAAAGUGAAAACUCACAAUUGUAUUGAUUCAAAAACUGAUUGUAAAGGUCUCUUAUCUUGGCUAUAUAUAGCCAUAUAAUUGACAACCUAAAGUGAAUUGGAUUCACUUAAACUAGACCUAAAGUGAAGUGGAUUCACUUAUUAAAUGCUCUCGGCUAGACUAAGGCCUUUUGGGCCGAAUAAAAUGAUUAAAAAUGACUAUCUAAUAUUUGGCCAACUUGGGAGGUUAUGUGGAUGAAUUUAUUAACAAAAAUAAAUAACGAAAACAAUGAUCAAAUAACUAAAUUGCCCUCGACCUUCUAAGCAACUAACCUUCACUUGACUCUUCAAGUUGGAGUAAGGUGUAUAUUGUAGAAUCUUCAUUCUCCAAGUCUUCAAUGAUCUUUAAAUCAUCUCCAACUCUCUCUUGGAUAGUGCAUACAAGAGCGUGAAGGGAUUCGCGCAUCUUCUUGGUACGAGCUCUUGUGAUCGGACCACUUGGUACUUGAAUGACUUGUUCAUCAUUAUUGGUCCUUAGUGCUCCGUCAUCAGUCCCCUCCUUUUGAAGGCAAUUUGUCCCCAAAUCAAUCUCGUUGUCUGCAUAAAAAGGACUUAGGUCAGCAACAUUGAACGUAGCAUGUACCCCAUACUCACCUAGAAGGUCAAGUUUGUAGGCAUUGUCGUUGAUUCUUUCUAUUAUUUGGAAAGGACCAUCACCCCUUGGAAGGAGUUUGUUGCGCCUUUGGAGUGGGAAGCACUCCUUUCGCAUGUGUAUCCAAACCUAGUCACCUGGUUCAAAUACUAUCUUGCGACGGCCUUUGUUUGCACUUUGGACAUAUUGAAGGGUGUGUUUCUCGAUGUUAGCUCAAACCUUAGCAUGUAAGUCUCGCACAAAAUUCACCUUUUUUUAUCAUCCAAGUUAACUCUCUCAUACUCAGGUAAAGGAGAUAAGUCCAAUGGAGUAAGAGGGUUAAAGCCAUAAACAAUUUCAAAAAGUGAAUAUUGUGUCGUAGUGUGCACCGUGCGAUUAUAAGCGAAUUCAACAUGUAAUAAGCAAUCUUCCUAAGUUUUAAUGUUCUUUUUGAUUAUUGCUCGCAACAAUGUAGAUAAAGUCCUAUUGACUACUUUAGUUUGUCCAUCAGUUUGUGGGUGGCUAGAAGUAGAGAAAAGCAGUUUCGUGUCUAGUUUAUACCACAAAGUUUUUUAAAAAUAGUUAAAAAAUUUUACAUUGCUAUCUAACACAAUGGUGCGAGGCAUGCCAUGCAAACGUACUAUAUUUCUAAAAAACAAGUCAGCUAUUAGGGUCCAUUUGGAUCCCUUGUUUUUACCUUUGUUUUUGAAAAACUGUUUUUCACAUUCCAAAUGCUACAGUAAAUGUGUAUUUCCAAAACAACUCAAAAAACACCAUAUCAAAAACAACUCUAUAUGUAUAUUUCAAUUAUGUAUAUUAUAUAUAUAUUAUAUUAAUAUAAAUUGAAAUAAACAAAUUGAAAAUUAUAUAUUUAUAUAUUAUAUAUUAUAUAAAUAUUUAUAUACAUUAAUAUAAUACAUAAUAUAAUAUACAUAAUAUGUAAUAUUGUAUACAUAAAUGUAUAAAUAAUUAUACAUAAUAUAUUAUGUACAGUAUAUUAUAAUAUAUAUACUAUUAAUGUAUAUUAUAUAUAUUAUAUAUAUAUAUUUAUUUAUACAUAUUAUAAAUAUUUUAUUUUAUUUAAAAAAUAUUUUUAUAUAUUUAUAUAAAUGUUAUAUAUUAUAUAAAUUAUAUAAAUUAUAUAUAAUAUAAUAUAUAUUAUAUAUUAUAUAUUAUAUAUAUUAUACAUUUAUAUAAAUGUACAUUUAUACAUAAUAUAUAUAUUAAUGUAUAUUUAUAAUAUACAUUUAUAUUAUGUAUUAUAUAUAAUAUAAUACAUUUAUAAUACAUUUCUACAUUUAUAUUAAUAUACAUAAUAUUAAUUUUACAUUAAUACGUAACAUUAAUACAUUAAUACAUUUAUAUUAAUUAUAUUAAUUGAUUUAUACAUAAUAUUAAUAUAUAUUUAUAAUAUAUUAAUUUAUAUAUUUAUAUAAUAUUCAUUUAUAAUUUUUAAUAAUAUACACUUAUACAUUUAUAAAUAUAUUUAUAUUAUGUAUUAUAUAUAAUAUAAUACAUUUAUAAUACAUUUAUAUAUUUUUAUAUAAAUAUAUUUAUUUAUAAAUAUUUAUAAAUGUAUUAUAAAUGCAUAAAUUAUAUUUAUAUAAAAAUAUAAAAAUAAUAAUUUAUAAUUUAUAAUUUAUACAUUUGUAUAAUAUACAUUUAUAAUUUAUACAUUUAUAAUAAUAUACAUUUAUAAAUAUAUUUAUAUUAUGUAUUAUCUAUAAUAUAAUACAUUUAUAUAUUUUUAUAUAAAUAUAUAAAUAUAUUUAUUUAUAGAUAUUUAUAAAUGUAUUAUAAAUGCAUAAAUGUAUAUAAAUAUAAAAUUAUAAAAAUUAUAAAAAUUAUAAAUUAUAAAAAUACUCAAAAAAUAUUUUUUAAAAAUACCUCUAAAAAUAAUCCAAUAACAUCUACAGUAAAAGUUUUUCAUAUAGUUUUUGAAAAACAACCCCAAAAAUAACUAAUCCAAACGGACUUGUAUUUCAAAAACGAAAUGCUACAGUGCUGUUUUUGAAAAACAAUCCCAAAAACAGCUAAUCCAAACGGAGCCUAUUGUGUUUAGCAUCAUCAGUCUUAUGGAGGUAUAAAAUGUGUCAUUUUAGAGAAACGGUCAACCACAACAUAAAUAGAAUCAUGACCUUGCCUAGUUCUAAGUAAUCCAAAUACAAAGUCCAUAGACAAGUCAAUCUAAGGUGCAUGCGGGAUGGGUAAAGGGAUGUAGAGACCAUGAGGAUUUAUCUUUGAUUUUACAUGGUGGCAAGUUACAUACCUUUGUAUAUGUCUUUUGACAUCCCUCCUCAUUCGUGGCCAAAAGAAGUACUCUUGGAGGGCAGACAACGUCUUAGUAAUUCCAAAGUGAUCCAUGAGUCCUCCUCCAUGUGGUUCUCAAACCAACGGGGGUCACAUGGAGCUCGAUGGAAUACACAACUUAUCCUUGUAAUACAAGAACCCCUAUGAUAUAGAGUAAUGCUCACAAGUGUCUCGUGGCAAGGAAGUAAAAAUCUUUAAGAAAUUCAAAACCUAACAACUUAGCAUCUAAUGUAGUAAGAAGUGUGUAUCGUCUAGAAAGUGCAUCAGCUAUUACAUUAGACUUACCUAUUUUAUACUUGAUCACAAAUGCAAAAGUGUCGAUGAAGGCUAUCCAUCUUGCAUGUCGUUUGCUCAAUUUGGUUUGUGACUUGAUGUGCUUGACCGAUUCAUGAUCAGUAUGUACAAUGAACUCUCGAAGUCGCAGGUAGUGUUGCCAAGUUUGGAGUGCUUGAACUAAGGCCAUUAGCUCCUUGUCAUAAGUUGAGUAGUUCAAGGAAGCUCCAUUUAGUUUUUUGCUAAAGUAGGCAAUCGGGCGACUCUCUUGGAGUAGAAUAGCUCCAAUACCUAUACCAGAAACAUUAAACUCGAUUUCAAAAGCUUUGUGAAAGUUAGGUAAACUAAGAACAGGUGCAUGUGUGAACUUGUGUUUAAGUAAUUGGAAGGAUUUAACUUGUUCUUCCCCCUACUGAAAUGGCACUUUUUUCUUGACAAUGGUUGUAAGUGGUGCGGCUACGAUGCUAAAGUCUUUGAAAAGCGUCUGUAGAAGCUUGCUAAGCUAUGAAAACUCUUCACCUCACUUAUAUUGAUAGAUGUUGGUCAUUUAUUUAUAACCUUUACAUUUGUUUGAUCAACUUGUACCCCCUAUGCACUUAUAACAUAUCUUAGAAAAACAAGUUGAUCAGUGUAAAAAGUGUACUUCUUAAGGUUGGCGUAGAGCCUUUCCUUUCGAAGUACAUCUAAGACAGCUUGUAAAUACAGUGCAUGCUCUUCUAAACUCCUACUGUAAAUUAGGAUAUCAUUAAAAUACACUACCACAAAUUUACCGAUGAAGGGAUGUAAAACAUAGUUCAUUAAUCUGAUAAAGGUACUAGGUACGUUAGUUAAGUUAAAAGGCAUGACUAACCACUCAUAUAAGCCAUAUUUAGUCUUAAAAGCGGUUUUCCAUUUGUCCCCAUCUUUUAUAUGAAUUUGAUGGUAUCCACUUUUCAGAUCAAUUUUUGUAAAAAUGAUAGCACAAUGCAAUUCAUCAAGCAUGUCAUCUAAACGAGGUAUGGAAUGACGAUAAUUUACCGUGACGGUGUUAAUGGCUCGAUAGUCAGUGCACAUCCUCCAUCCUCUAUCUUUCUUAGGCACAAGUAGAACGGGUAUAGCACAAGAACUUAGACUCUCACGAAUCCAUCCUUUGCCAAGUAACUUCUCUACUUGCCUUUGUUGUUUUUGAGUUUCCUCGGGAUUAGUCCUAUAUGGUGCCUUGUUUGGCAAAAAAGCCCCAGGGAUGGAAUCGAUUUGAUGUUCAAUCCCUCUCAAAGGUGGCAAUCCAUUAGGUACAUCAUCAGGAAACACAUCUUAAUACUCCUGUAAGAGGUUAGUGACAAUACUAGAUAGAGAAGUAUCACAUUCAUUAGUAAUAAAAGCUUCUUUACAAAUCAAUAUAAGUAAGACUUGGUUAGAAUGUAAAGUUUUUCUCACAUCCUUCACUCCAGCUAGCAUGCUAUUUUUUCUUUCGUUUCCUAGCUCAAUGGUUCGACUAGACCCACUUUUAUCUUUUGGUGUUUCGGCCAACUUCCCUAGUUUUCCCUUUGAGGGUUGUUUUUUAUUAGUUGCAUGCAUAUCAUACUCCCUUUCUAAACUAACUUGGUUCUCAUGCACUUGUUGUGGUGUAAGAGGUGCAAGUGUGAUUUUUUACCAUUAUACAAAAAAGAGUAUUUAUUCAAGAAAUCAUCAAAAGUAACUCUCCUAUCAAAUUGCCAAGGACGGCCUAAAAGAAUAUGUGCAGCUUGCAUAGAUACUACAUCGCAUACAAUAUCAUCUUCAUAUCGACCAAUGCGAAAAGUAACUAAGACUUGUUUAGAAAUACGUACCUCGCCGCUAUUAUUUAACCAUUGAAUCUUGUAGGGUCGAGAAUGCUCAGUUAUUGGCAAGUUGAGUCGUUCCACCAUCAAUGCACUUGCAACAUUAGUGCAACUCCCCGGGUCAAUGACUAGGUUGCACACCUUGUUGUUUAUAUGGCACCUUGAAUAGAAGAUGUUUUCUCGUUGUAGUUCAUCUCGACUAGUUUGGGUAGCUAGUGCUCGCCUUGCCAUUAGACACCCAACCUUGUCAUUGAUUGGUAUUUCCUCAAGCUUGUCUACUUCCUCUUCCAAUGAUGACAUCAUCUCAUAUUCUUCUUUUUCUUCAUCGGUCAACAUAUCUCCAUUGGGUAACAUAAUUAAGGCCCGUUGGUUUGGACAUUGGGAGGCAAUGUGUCCAAACCCUUGACACCUAAAACAUUUAGUGGCACGGGUCCUCGGUUUAGAGACCUCUUGAUUGAAUUUAAUCCCUUCCUUUGGAGUUGGUUUGGACAGUGGUGCAUUCGGUCUCAUACUCCCUUGGCAAGCUUCAUUUGGCUUUGAGGCAUUAGGUACAAACGAAGGGUUGGUUUUGUUCCUUGUGGUCGGAUUCCUCCAAAUUCCAGAUUGGGAGUUGGAGUUUUGGCGAACCGUAUCCCUCCUUUUAAGUCUCCUUUCUACCUUGAUGGGUUUAUCUAGCAAUUCAUUCAAGUCAAGGUAGUGGUGUAGCUCCACUAUGUCAACAAUGUCAAUCCUCAAGCCUCUUAAAAACUGAGCCAUGGUUGCUUCUAGAUCUUCAUGAAUAUCAGCCCGCAUCAUGGCCAUUUUCAUUUCUUUGUAAUAGUCUUCAACCGAUAGACUACCUUGGGUGAGAGUUUGCAACUUGUUGUGCAAGCCUUGAUGGUAGUAGACUCGUACGAAGCGUUUCCUCAUUAGCCUUCUUAGCCCAUCCCAAGUCCGAACGGGGCGCUCAUCAUUCCUUCUCCAACUAGUGCGUAGUUGAUCCCACCAUAUGGCCGCGUAGUCGGUGAACUCAAUGGCCGCGAGUUUCACCUUUUAGCUUUCAGUAUAGUGGUUGCAUUCGAAGAUCAUUUCGAUCUUUCUUUUGCAUUCCAAGUAGGUUUCGAGGUCGGAUAUUCCUUGGAAUGAAGGAAUCUUAAGUUUAAUGCCUGGAAUUGGGUCAUUACUUCGCUUGUGUCUCCUCCUCCUCCCUUUGUUCCAUCCAUUGUAGUCAUCAAAGUCCGAAUCAUCCUCAAGUUCAUCUUCAUUUGAGUUCUCUUCGGAUUCCUUAGUGGAGGUCCUCAUUCGACCUUGUUUCACGGAGCUUUGUACAUGUUCGAGUUUGUCAACUCGCUCAUGCAAGGAUUCGAUAGAGAGGUUGAUUUUUUUGUAAAAUUCAUUCAACAUGGCAUUCAAUUUAAGCGUAGGGUCAGCCAUUUGAAUGUGUUCACUUUCGUCCAUGCUCAUGUGUACCUGCAAGAAAAGGUUAGUAAGAAAAUAGCCUCACUCGCUUUCUCACGUGUUUCGCUCAAUCGUGUAUCACUCAAGUGUUUAAAACACUCUAAUGUUCUCACCACUCACUUUUCAAAUCCCUUGAUUGCUUCCUUGAAGAAAUCAGAAAUUUCCUCCAAAUAGUUCAACCAAACUUCAAUCAAAUUUUCCCCACAAGUGACGUAGGAUUAGCUAAAAGUUGAAGAAUGAAUAAUGACUCCAAAAGACAGCAAAGGAUACGAGGAGCACACUGGAAUAAUAUUAUUGUUUUAGUCCGCGAAGAGUGACUCAAGAGUUUGACUUUGAUAAGGACUAUAACAAUGUAAGUGUCGAUUGGACUGUUUGGACCCUUGUAUUACUGGAAUUUUUUUCCUUUUGUUGUGGCCAGGUUGUUUAUGGAGUUUUGAUGUUUUUGGGAUGCCCACGUGGUGCGGUUCACAACCCUUGAAAACCAGCUAAUUCGGUUGGCUAUUGGAGCGACAACCGACUUAGGAGGAGAAAUGCGACAAGGGUGGCAGUUGUUUUUGGGAUGCAAGGGUUGGAAGGCUUGUUUCGGAUCUGAUGUGGAAGGUUGAGGGUGUUUUUGGGAGGUUUGGUUUUGGUUCUUGGCUUUCUUGGCUGACUUCAAUCAAAUAGCUUUAGGAUUAGAAGUUGAUCAAGAAUGGGACUUGUUUUCUAAGUAGGAAACCUAGAGCCGUUUCUUUCCUUUUUCUUUCUUCCUUUUUUUUCUUUUGCGGCUCUUACUAAAUCUUUUUCAAGGAAUCAGAUUUAGUUCCAACAAUGCAAUUUUUGGAUCAAAGUUCAAGGUGCCAACACAGUGGAAGUUUUCAAGAAACCCAAGACUUUUCCCAAGAACUCCCAAAUUUGUUUUCAAGAACUUCAAGAAAUCUGAUCAAGAAGCUCAAGAACUUCCCAACUAUGCUUGUGGUAUUCAAGUUUUGCAAGAAACAAUACAAGAAUUCAAGGUUCAAUAGCAAAAUUAGGUUCGGCAGUCCCAAAGGCAAAAUUCCAGCAAUUUCCACUCAAGAAACUUGGUAUGCGACUCUUUUAUUUUCUAACCUUUUUUGCUGGAUUGUUUUCACAACCAAAGCGACACAAUAAGGACACAAUUGACACUAUAAUCUAGAGAAAAUCUAGUAGCAGCUAUCGGCUAAAAUAGAUUGCACACAAGACACAAUAAGAGCAUGAUAAAGAAAACAAGAACCCUAGCGGCUGAAUAUUUUUUUUUGACUCGAUUACUUCCAAGACCUAACACACGACACUAAGAUGCAAAUAAGAACAAGAAUCACUGUAGCAAUACUCGACACAACGUGGACAGAAAAGUGACAAUUGCGGACAGCCAAGAUAAAUGAAAAAAAAGGAGAAACUAGCGACUAAUUUUUUUUUUUUACACACAAAACAGAUUUGGAACAAACGUAUAUGAUUCGAAACAAAAAGAAAAGGAAGGAUAUAACCUAGUGGUUGUCGACUAGCUCUGAUACCAACUGAUGUGAUCUACACUUGGACACGAUCUAGACAACGAACACCGACUGUUUGGCAGUGAAAAUUUGACUCAAUCUAAUGUCUGAAGUAGCGAACAAUAUUAAUACUAUCUCAACCCACUAUUUAACGAAUUAGCGAACCAAACUAUAGGUAGAGGAACGCCACAACCAAGGAGUUACUUGAUUGAUAAUUUCACUUGAAUAACUUGAGAAAGAUUCUCAAAUAUUCAAAGAAGCUCUCUUGGAAAGAGAAAAGUGAAAACUCACAAUUUUAUUGAUUCAAAAACUGAUUGUAAAGGUCUCUUGCCUUAGCUAUAUAUAGCCAUACAAUUGACAACCUAAAGUGAAUUGGAUUCACUUAAACUAGACCUAAAGUGAAGUGGAUUCACUUAUUAGAUGCUUUCGGCUAGACUAAGGCCUUUUGGGCCGAAUAAAAUGACUAAAAAUGACUAUCUAAUAUUCGGCCAACUUGGGAGGUUAUGUGAACGAAUUUAUUAACAAAAAUAAAUAACGAAAACAAUGAUCAAAUGACUAAUUGCCCUCGGCCUUCUAAGCAACUAGCCUUCACUUGACUCUUCAACUUGGAGUAAAGUGUAUAUUGUAGAAUCUUCAUUCUCCAGGCCUUCAAUGAUCUUUAAGUCAUCUCCAACUCUCUCUUGGAUAGUGCAUACAAGAGCGUGAAGGGAUUCGCGCAUCUUCUUGGCACGAUCUCUUGUGAUCGGACCACUUGGUACUUGAAUGACUUGUUCAUCGCCAUUGGUCCUUAGUGCUCCGUCAUCAACACAUAUCAACAAUUUUCAUUUUAAAGAUGUAAAUGAGAAAGGGAAAGAGAAGAAACUAAUGGCAAGAAAAAAUGAAGUGAAGAAAUCGAAGCAAGAAAGGAAUGAAAAGAAUAAAAGAAAAAAGUAGAAUUGGUUGUAAAGAAAAUUCUAUUAUGGUAGUGAUUAACAUUAACUAACGGAUUUUGGAAUGAAGAGGGUAAAUGAGACAUUUUGAUAAAAGGAAAUGAAUAAUUGUAAUUUUCAUUAACAUUUAUUCAGUGUGAGUGCAAAAGGAAUCUUAGAUAUGAGGGAAACUUAGUAAAUGGAUACCUUUACGUUUGAUGUAUUGAUUUUCAAGUAACUAUCCUAAAGUUAAUGAAUUCAAAUUCUCAAUUUGUGUAAGAAAGUUCUUUUAAUUUUCAGGAAAUUUUGGUUUUUGAAAUAAUUCUCUAUUAAUUAGAUUUUAUUUCUUUCUACAAUAAAUUAAAAAGAUUUAAAAGGCAAAAUAAGCAAAUCACGAAGAAAACAGAAAACGAAAAACAAAAAACAGGAGUAACACUGAGGAGCAAAAAGAGGUGGAGAAGUCAUCGUCCUCGCCAUUGCUGUGACUACUUAUCUGUUAACCCCAUGUGCAACUUAAAAGGGGGCUGAAUUAGGUUAUAUUAAACUAAGCAAAUUAUGACAAAAAUUUCACCCAAUUCUAACUAAUUAAAUUCACCUAAGCGAACACACACUUAAAUAAGCAAAAUAACAAUAAGAAUAAAGCAAUUUAACCAUACAAACAAGUAAUAAAAGAAAGCAAUAAAAAGUAAAAAGAGUUUCAAAUCAAACAAACUCCCAAGUUUCUUUCAAACUUGGAGUUCAAUAUUCCAUAAUAGUUUCUUAAUUUGAUGGCAUAGCAAACCAACUUGUACAUAAGAAAACUCACUCUUUACUCACCCUAACUACUUUUUAGUUGAGUUAAAGAGCUUUACAACUUCAGUCAAGUUAACCACAAUUGAAUGCCUCCCAACCAAUUAAGAACUACUACACUUUUCAACCGCACCAAGAUUACAAGUACAUCACACACAAAAGUAUUUUCUCUCAAAAUCGCUCUUACAAAUUGUAUGCAAAACUCUCUCUAAUAUUCAGAUUUAGAAAUAUUUAUAAAUAGUAAAAUUUUAUCCUAAAAGUCUCUCUAAUUGUCAAAAAACUAGCUAUCAAAAAAUUAGCCGUUAGAGUUGUCGGGCAUCCGAUAUUUCAAUUUUAGGUCCUAAGGCUGUUGAGUUGGUCUUCACUAGGAGUUUCAAACAGCCAAUGUAGCAUCCAAGAAAUAUGUUUGACAAAAGCAGAGAGUUUACACAGAGUUUAACCAACUCGUCGAACAUUCAAUAGGCAUGUUGUGCAUCUAUUGCAUCAUCUGAUUAUAAAAUUGGAAUUUUCUUCAUUUUUUAAAUGUCCGAUCCUUCUAACUAGUGUUUGAAACUGCAUCCAACCCUAAACGAUAAGUUUCAUUCAAACUUUUUUUUCUCCUUUCUUUCUUCGUUGAGUUUGGACUGGUUCCUAGCAACUUUCUCAUGAAAAAGAUAUUAGUCCAAAUCAAAAUUUUGGCCCGUUAAUUAUCAACUUAGAUCUUCACCAUCACUUCCCAAUUCAUGUUUUUGAAGUGAAAAUGCAUUGGAAGGUCCUUUUUAUCUCAUUUCUUCUUCUAAUUUCCAAGUUCAUGCAGCUUGUUUGGAUGUUUUAGUUUUAGUUUUUGUUUUCUUUGUGUUGUUAUUGAAUUCCUUGGUAAUUUCUUUGCAAUUUUGUGAUUGUCUUUUGUCUUUUUGGUUGCAAUGAUGACAUUUUUAUAACCUAAUCUAUUUUAAUCUAUGAUGACAUUUUUAUAAUAUAAUCUAUCUUAGUCUACAGGGUUGGGGGGUUAUCAGGUAUACAAACUCAACUGGAUCAAAGGGGUAUUUCUGGCAGCUAUUUUGGAUUUUUUUCACAGUAGGUAGGGGUUCGCUAACAGGUAUAUGGACCUAGCUGUAUCAAAGGGAUGCUCUUCUUUAGAAUUUUUUCACUAUAGGUGGCAUUCGAUACCCCGACCUACAGCUAAAAGAGGGACUUAAUCCUUCUCUAGUGGCCACUGAGCCAAAUCUCGGUGAUUGCAAUUUUGUUAUUGUUUGUUCCUUUAAUAUGAUAUAAAUACUGAGACUUUUGGUUGGAUUCCUAACUUGGGCCCUUCUUUGCUUGGAUUUUAGUAGACUUUCGAGAACCUUUUAUGCUCGAGACAUGCUUGAUGAAAAGCCUAGACUAAAAGAAAAGUUUGAUUAGUGGUUUUGUUGAGAGUCGGAGACGUGUGGUAUUGUGCAGUUGUGACAAAGGGAGAACAAAUUAGGCUCCAAUGGGCAUUUCAAAAGAGGUUUAGAGAUCUUAGUGUUGGUUUUUGCUGAUUUGUCCCCUCUUUUUUUAAUUUUUUUUUGUUUUUGUGAGUUUUGGUGCAUGUACUGUGUGUAUAAGUGUGUAAGAGAUAGGGGUUAUGUUCAAACAUUACCACAAGCCAGCCUAACUUUUAGAGAAGAAAGGGAUUGUCAGGAACCAAGUUAGAAGAUUAGAAUUAAGAAUGAAAUGAGAGAGAGAGAGAGAGAGAGAGAGAGAGAGAGAGAGAGAGAGAGAGAGAGAGAGAGAUUAGGAGAAGGAAAGGAGAAAUGUAGAAUAGAGAAGAUGAAUAAGAGAGAGAAUUUGCAUUUCACUAAAACUGAUUAAUGAUUAUAAUUGAGCGGUACAAAAACUAUUAUAAAAUUACUCAAUACAUCUGAGUUAUCCCAUCCUCUAGGAUUAGCAACAUAACUGUCUAACUAAUUAGGAUCAUGACAAUAUUCCCCACUUAAAAGAACUCUUGUCCUCAUGGAUUGAGAUUAGGAAUGAUACUGCAUAGCUUGGCCUUUAAAGAAUAUGACCAAAAGAGCAACCCGUAUCAAUUUUGUUUUCGAAGUCUUGAGGUCGAUUUUGGAAGUUGCAAUCUAGUAGAUAAUCCCAUCCUCCUGGAUCUCAAGAAAAACUCUCUUCCAAAAGUUUGUAGCCUUGAAUUUUACUCCGUAUUGUAGGCCAAGUUUUCGCAACUAUAAAAAUCUUGGACACACCAUAAACUUCUAUGAAAAUAUCUUGUCCUUGUACAAUUAUAGCUUUGACAUAGUCUGCAUCCUCUUGAUUAUAAAACAAAUAUCAAAAUGUUUAGGAUACUUGAUCUCAAAUGAGAACUCAAUUGCAUCUUUACAAUCAAGUGCAACUCGAUAAUUUGAAUAUCUUGAAACCUUGUAACCAAGUGUAUACUGAUGCAAACCAAUUCCCACUUUCAUUUCUUUCCUAAGAUUAAUUCCCUUAGAGUCAGCAUCAACAAAAGCCAAUGACUUAAUCUUCCCAUCUCAAAUUGGUUUCUAUUGGGAUGAAUAAGCACCCAAGCUCCUACCAAAGUUAUGUUGAGGGAUUGCUUAAAGUUUAAAGCAUACUUCAUGCCCCAGUUUGAUUCUUCUAUCCUCCAUUCCGGUUGUCUUUGACUAAUCAAGUCUCUAGUUGGAUGACCACUACUAUCAAGAUCUUUGUAGGAAGUUAAAUCCUUUCCAUACCGUACAAAACAACUUGCCAUCAGAAAAUUUAGGCAUAAAGACUUUGAAAGAAACUCAACUUGAGAACCUGCUAUAUCAUCAUUCUCCACAUCUAUCAUAGACUUAGCAAAACUAGUAUGUGCAUUAGUAUCCUUCAAUAAACUUCCUUGAUUCCUUAUUGAGAAAAAUUUUAUUAGUGUAGCUCCUCCUAUGUACAUGAUAGUUGGCCCUUCCAACAAUACCUUGAACAUAAUAUCCUAUCCAUCAUUGAUCAUUUCGGGUUGCAAUUACCGGAGUUCAAAUGUUACAAAGCUAUAACCAUACAUCUAGUUGACUUCCACAAAAAUACCCAUAUCAUUAAUUUGCAAAAUUCUCCGGUGACAAGUAAUCUUAUGCUCAAGUAAAUUCCAUCUAGCAUUGAAACAAAAACAAAGAGUAUCACCUGUCAUGGUGAAAUUAGAAUGUCCAAGUUGACAUAUUUUUGGAUUGAGAAUAUGUAGUUCCACUUGUAAGAGUGCCACCCCUGAACCUAGUCACUAAUUUAGACCAUGGUUUCAUCACAAUUUUGGACUCCUUACUAAUGAUUCCAGCCAAAUACUCUUGAAAGAGAGAAUCUAUAAGAACCUCCAUGAAGUCUCUUGGCUUAAAGAAUUGUAGCACAAACUUCUCAGCCAAUCCAAACCUCCUAAUAACAUCAAUGAUCUGAGUUUUUCAACCCCUUUGUGAUUUUUUUCAACAACAGUCCAUUAUUGCAAUAUACUAGGCAUUUCCACUUCAUCUUGCAAUCUUUGCCUUUCAGACAUAUUAAUCUCUCCUUUCAUCAAUUGCGGGUCUUGGAACUCAAUAUCAACAUUUUCUUGAAUACAAAUUCCAUGAGUUUCAAUCUUCGUGUCAUCCAACAGUUGAUGAUUUAAGAUGAUUUCACCACAUUUUCUCAUCCCUUCCUCAGAAUUUUCUAUAGAAAUCAUAACCAAAUCAUUUGUUGAAACAUUUGGUAUUGAAAUGUUACCUAUUUCUUCCUUGUUCAACUCUACCUCAAUGAUUACAAUUUAUUAGUACAAAAAUUAUUUAUAAAAUUGCUCAAUGCAUCUCAAUCAUCCCAUCCUCUACAAUUAGCUACCUAACUGCCUAACUAAUUAUAAUCAUGACAAGGAAUCACAAAGGACAAUAGACAUACGUAGAAGAUGAAAACAUUUUUGAAAAUGCAGCCAAGUCCUGCAAUGUUCCCUUAGAUGUUCACCCCUAGCUUUUUGGAACCAGUAGCUUUAUAUUAGAAGUUUUCAUUUAUGCCCGUACUAUUAUAGAGUCAAUUUAGCACAAAAAAUCUUCAAUUUGUCAAAUCAGGCUUUAAUUUUACGUUUAUAAUUCAUGUGACCUAAUAUGAAAUAUGGGACAUUGUAUUAUUUUUGUUUCUUUUUUUUCUUUAGUUUUUAAAAUUGAGCGUGACCAAGUGUCCAGACUUCGUUAUUACAUAACUUUUUCCUACAAAAGUUUGAAAUGUGGGACUUUACUUUUAUUUAUUUAUUUAUUUUUACGCAUGUUCACUUGUGAAAAUUUCAAUUUUGGUAUAAAUCACAAGUAUCCAUAUUCAUUUUAUGAUUUGGGACUAAUCUUAGUCGAAUCGGAUCAGGCCUUGUGGAAUUUUCUUUAAUGCUAUUUUUUGAAGUUAAGUUUACUUGUGUUUGACUUCAAAACUAGAAGAGCGAUAAUUAAAGUAGCAAUUGGUUUGCAUUGGGUGUAUGUAGUUGCUCAAGGCUAACAUCUUCCUCAUAAUUAAUCUCGUGAUCUCAUUUCUCUUAUUUGCUGGAUUCGUCCAUGUAAAUGGAGUAUUUUUUUUUGCUUCAAAAGUCUAAAAUUGCAUUUUGAAUAUUGUUUAGGUAAAUGUGACAAUCCAAAUACCUCGUAAUGACUAUUGAUAUCGGAAAAUUUUUCCUAAACUGUUGAUGCAUUCAGCUAGAUUUGCCAAAUCCCAUUCUAGGCUUUCUUUUCCCCCUUUUCCCUUUAUUGGUAUUUUAUUCUAUUAAUGAAAUAAAAAAUUCAAAUAGCAUCUUAAAACCUUCUCUAAUUUUUAUUAUAAUUUAUUUACUAAUUUUACAUUUAUUAUUUAAUUAUUUAUUUUUUUACUAAUGUUGGGCAAAUUCAAUUUGGGGGAGUGGGAAAUUGGAAAAUCUUAUAAAUCAAGUUAAAAUGACCGUUUCUGAACUGUUCACGGUCAGAUUUUGACUAAAAAAAUAUGGGGCCUAAAUCACUAGUUGUAUAUCAAUUUUUAUAAUAUGGGUAAGAUCCACAAAAUUUUAUACACGUUAUGUAAAUAAAGUUACGUUGCGUGCAAUCAAAAUUACGCAUCAUGAAAAUGACCAAAACCGUCGCAACCAUUCCCGCCCCUUCUCCUCGGUCCAGUAUAAGUACGACUUCAGUGCAAACUUCAAAACUUUUAUACCACUCAGACCUAUGGUUUGGAUGCCAAUUGAUGGUUCCAUCACGUUUCAACAACCAUUCAGAAACUGGAUUGGGGCCAAAUUAAAGUGAAUCUUUUCAAUGAAACUGCUGAAUUGGUUUUUUUUUAGUUGAAUUUGAUUUUGGAUUUUAGGGCUUGAAAUUAAGUUUCAAUCUACUUGGGAGAGGUAGAAUGAAAUUAAUCCGACCUCUCUUUCUCCCAACCCACAUCCUAAUGCAGAGAGCUGCGGGGAAUGUAAGAACAAAAGAGAUGGUGAAGUCUUUGAUCGGUGGUACCCGUCGAUUCUGUAUUUCCUCACUUCUCAAACCAUCCUCUCCAAUUUCUCUUGAUUUCAGGUACCCUCACAAAAAAAAAGAGAGAAAGGAAUCUAUGUAAUUCUUUGGUUUUAUUUACUGCUCAAUGUUUUUGUUUGUGUAAAGAAAAAAACAGUUAUGCAUGUGUAGAUUAAAAACAAUCUAGUAGGAAAAAAUCGUGAUUUUAAAUCCUUUUAGGUGAUUUUGUUGCUGGAUUUGUUAAUUCCUAAUUAACUUUAAUCUUUCUGUAACCUGCGAGGAGCAAAUAAAAGGGUUAAGGAGUUUGGGAUUAUCAUGAGCAAUAAUUUGAGAAAUUGAGGAAAAAUGGGGUCUCUUUGAUAAAAAAUUUCGGUAAUGAUUUGUUUGCUUAGCUUUCUACCUUUAGUUGAGGUUUACUGGGUUUUCAUUAGUUUUGCUGGUUACUUUAUAGCCAAUUCUUUAGAACCCGUGCCAACGGUUUUCGGUUAUAUUUAGGCCUCCAAUGCAAUUGACUUUAAGAAGUUCAUGGUUGGCACUGAGGAAUUUUAGCCAUGGCAGAGUGAAUUUAGUGAUAUCUCCACAGGGAAAGCCGAAAUUUGAGACUCAUGAAAUUGAGCAGCCUAAAAAGGACAAGUGGAUGACAAAGAAGCGGCUGAAGAUGAAAAGGAAAAAAGAAAAGCAAAAGAGAAAGGCUGCCAAUAAAAGAGACCCUAGAAGACUAGGUGUCAAAGGGAAGAAGAAAAAGCAGAGGUUUGCUAAUGCUGAGGAAAGGAUUAAAUACAAGCUGGAAAGGGUAAGUUGACAAACAACUAAUUAUUAUUAUUUGUCUCAAUGCAGCAUUUAAAGACCUGCCUUUUUCUGAAUAAGAUAAUUCGGAUAUGCAUUCUCUUUUGAAGUUUCUACUAUUCAUCUUCAUAUAUAUGGACUCAAUUAAUAGCUGACUAAUUGUGUGCUUGACACAAACUCUGUUCCUGGAAUGAUCAUGGUGGAUAGCUUUGGCUAAGCAGUUCAUAGUUCACUGGUUAAAAAUGGGCACAUUGCGGUGCAUCUUUGUGGUGCUACUCAAUUUGUUAGCGUUUAUUUCGAUGGCAAUUAAUUCUUGUUUGUGUUUUUUUAUCUAUCUGAUCAACUGAUGGCGGUCAGAAUUCUCCUUAAGGUUGUUCUUUAAUUCCUGGGUAUUGGUUAUUUCUAUUUUCCCUGUUUUUCCUUCUAUUCUCAAAGAGAGAGAAUUGGCUAUGGGUUGUAUAUGUAUGCCUCAGAUUGGCUUAGUUUGGUUGGUUAACUGACAGGGCUGAUUUUUCUUUACCUCAGGCCAAAAUUAAGGAAGCCUUGCUAAUUGAAAGACUAAAGCGGUAUGAGGUCAACAAGGUCCAGGGUCCUGUUGUUAAGCCACAUGAGCUGACUGGCGAAGAACGAUUUUACAUGAAGAAAAUGGCCCAGAAAAGGUCGAAUUAUGUACCUAUUGGUAGGAGAGGAGUAUUUGGUGGUGUCAUUCUUAAUAUGCAUUUGCAUUGGAAGAAGCAUGAAACUGUCAAGGUCAUUUGCAAACCUUGCAAACCUGGUCAAGUGCAAGAUUAUGCUAGUGAAAUUGCCAGGCUUAGUGGUGGAAUUCCAAUUCAAAUAAUCGGUGAUGAUACAAUAGUUUUUUAUCGCGGAAUGGAUUAUGUGCAGCCAGAAGUUAUGUCGCCCAUCGAUACAUUGUCCAAGAAGAGGGUAAGUUUCUUCUAUGAUUUACUUUGUUUAUAAAUCUAUACUUCUUUGGGUACUACAUAAGUCUCUGGCUACCUGUAGGAGAUUCUUAGUUAUCUUUGAUUGCUUUGUGGAUUGGUUUUCCUACAUAUCUUUUCUACUGCAAUUUUUAAUCGUCUUAGUGUCUGAGUUGAUUUAGACUCAUUCAUUGGCUUGUAUAACUUAUGCAACCUUCUGAUAGUUUUUUAGUUACUUUUUCCUUUUUCAAGACUCUUGGGUCUAUUCUGAUGAGAUGGUACACUUCAUUUUUUUUUGAAGCUGAAAAAUUGACAUUGGACAUGGGACAUGAAGACAGUCUACAAUGAAAAACAUUUUACUUGAAAUAACAUAACCAGACAUGUAUAGUACAUUUCGAUUAUUUGGUUAUUCCUCAGUCAUGCAGGCCAUCCUUUUAUCACUGAAGUUUCUACUGAACUUCAGUUACAAGCAUGUGUUGUUGCAUGUAUGAUCAUAUGGGUGCAAAGUGGAUAGAAUCUAAGUAAUACUGGUAAGUCAAAUUGCUAGCUUUUGAAAACUAGUACGAGGGAUAUAUGUAAUAGAAAUUUGCGAGAUUUUUAAAACUUUUUGGAACAUACUGGUAGGACUUAACUUAUGUCAGUUUCUUGUAUAUUGGCGUUGGUUGACCCAAAAAAAAAUUUUUUUUUUGGGGAAUAACUAUGCACUCUGCUGGAGUUUUUGCAAGCAUAAUUUGAGCAUUAAAUUUCUCUCUUCUGUGUUCUUGUCAAUAUAUCUCUUAUAAUGAAAAUGUUGGAUGUCUGAAAAAUGUUGCAAAUAAAUGUGGAUUGUUUGUCCUAAAUAUAUUCGUCCAGGAUCACAAUGAGUGCUUAGGUGUUAUUAAAAAGAUCGAGGACUAUUUGCCUUUACAGCCAGUUUAAUGGUUCUACAUGAAUAUUUGAUCUUCAAGAUUUGAAUUUUCUUUAUCAAUUCAGUUGUUCUUGUGAUCCAACAAUAAGAUUGUUUUGGGUGCAAUCCUGAAUAUUGAUUGUGGCUUUGUUUAUUUGGAUUGUAUUUUAGACCCAGUAAUCCUGUUUGCAUUUGGAAAUAGCUUUCAAUUGAUUCAAGGAUUCCAACCAUGUCAGUUAAUUUUACUUUUGACAUCAGUGCCUUUAUGGUUCUGUUUCGAUUGAUAAAGGCUUAAUUUGGUGACUUCAUGUAGGGUUGUUGGUGGUCUUUAUAUGAUUGUAGCAAGUUCUAGCUUUAGGGCUGAUGCUGAAUUUCAGGAUCACGGCAUUGUUGUUUUAGAAAAUUCCUCAACUCUAAGCCAUGAUAACUCACUUGUAUAGGAAUUAUAUGGUUGUUUGGGUGCUAAAACAGAGAUCAGUAGAAAAUAAUAAAGAAACAAAAUUAAAAAAGGGGAGGGAAACAAGGCUGUGUUUAUGUUCAACUUGGCUACUACAGGAAUAUAUAGUUCUUUCCUUGUCACGGUUAUCAUGGAUGAGUACUUGUUUUGUCUAUUGAAAGGAGUAUAUACGGAGUUCUGAACAAGAGUUCCAUGCUUCUGUUAGGUACCAAAUUCACUAUACAUUCAGGGAUGUCUGACCUGACAUGUGAGAAUUUGCAGUUACCUUUUACUGUAAUUUUGUGACUGCGAUAUCACUAUAGGUUGUGGCAGUGCUCUAUGAAUGUCUUCAUGAGAAAUGCAAAUGUCACAUUUGUAGUAGCAUUCACGUGACAAUUAUACUUGGACUUCUUGUAAUAAACUUCAAGUUUGCUUCUUGUUUGAAGUCAAUGACAGAUUUUCAUAAAAUCUAGUGUUUUUGAAAGCUGCCUCUUUGUUGGAUUACUCUAUGGAAGAGGUCCUUUUUAAUUUAUAUCAAAAGGUUUAUAAUUGUCCGCAAGGUUGUCAUAUGAAGGUUUCAAUUUUAUAAACCUCACCAUUAACAUUACCUUAUCCGAGAAUAUUGUGGAAUCUUCUUGGCAAAAAAAUUUUUACGCUCAUGUGACUUUGCUUGAGCUAUAUAAAUGCUCUGUAGAUGGGCUAUUUUGUUGGAAUCAUCCAUCUCCUUUAUGAUUGGGUAUCCUGUGGACAUCAGUUUAAUGAGCAGUCAUCUCUUAGGCAAUCAAAGAAAAAGGGGUCUUACUCGGCAUACAUUUGUCUGGUUUUUGAUGUGCUCCUUUUCCUUCUCUUUUCCAUUGUAGAUUACAAUUUUGUUAACCUUUUCAGUGAUUUUUUCAUCUUCUUUCAGGCAUUAGAAAAAUCCAAGUACGAGCAGUCACUUGAGUCUGUUAGACGGUUUAUUGCUAUUGCCGAGAAGGAGCUUGAAUUAUACUAUAGACAUGUUGCACUUUACGGUGACCCAAAUGACCGGAAUCUGAACUCAAUCUUUGAUAAACCAAGACGAAUAGAAUGGGCAAGGAAGGUUGAGGGAAAAGAAGAUGCGUCUUCAAUAACUGAAGAAUGUUCUCAUGCUCUCUUUCAAACAGAUAUUGAUUCCAUGGAUGAUGAAAUCUUAGAAUCUGAAGAAAUCUCUGAAUUUGAUGACAAGUGCAAGAAUAAUGCUGCAUCUGCAAGUGAAAUAGAUUAUGAGGAUGAUGGAACUCAUACUGGGGAAAUAGAGUCAUGUGACGAAGAAACAGGUAGUGUCUCUUAUACUAGAAUACCAGGUUCAGGAUCUGUACAUCAAGUAAAUGGAAUGCUGAAUGAGAAUUUGUUUUGAGCAAUAUUUUGUUUUGCAAUAUUUAUUUUAAUUGGUUUAGACCCUAUAUUGCUCUGUUUGUUUUAUUUUCUUUCAGGAGCUUGCUUUCCUUAAUCUUACAUAUACUGCAUUUUAUCUUGUUAUAUCUGUUUGAAGCAGCAAACACUAAGUUUUGAUCUCCCUGUUGGCUAAAUUUAAAACACUUGCUUGUCUUAAUCUGUCUGUUUUGCAAAAGAAGAUCAGAUGCAUGAUUGGCCAAAUAUUCGUUUUACAUGUAGACUUAGGGGAUAAAAAGAAUGCUCUUGCAAGACAAUAGAUAAGCUAUGAUCAGAUCAAUAGGACAUUGAGUUUGUCAGCGAAUUCUAGUAAAACAAAUGGUGUUAUGGUUACAACUUCAAGGAGCAAUACAGUUCAAGAUUAACGAAUGAAGAAACUUGAAAAACCAAACAAGCGUGUUCGAAAUUUUUCCUGGCUAUUUGGUACCUGUGAAAAGUUUAGAUAGAAAAUUGAAGUUGGUGGUUGUCAUUAAUUUCAUGAAUAGCCAGAGAAUGAUGCUCAAUCACUCUUAAUGACUAGUAGAAAAGAAAAUUCUACUUCUUAGACAGUUUUAAUGUAUUUCUAAAGAACUGCUGAUGAGCCGUAGCUAUUACUACGUGGACUUUGAUAAUAGUAUGUGUUCAUUCUUGUAAAAUCGCACCAUGUGGACUUUUACUUCAUAGCUAUUCAAGUUUUGGUGACACAUGUUUUCUGCUCAAGCCAAUAGUCCAUAGAAAUAUAUUGGUCCAUUUAGUUCAUAGCAUAACAAUUUCUUGUGCCACAGUUUGUGCAUUAUGUGUGCAGCAAUGAAGUAACAUGGUGUUUUGUAGUUAUUUAGGUUUUAUAUCUAAACUCAUACUUGGCAUUGAUUUUCUUGGAAAAGAAGCUGUAUAUGCAGUCUACUAGAUCCAUCGAUUUUUCUGGUGCCAUUUUUAUCACCAAUUUAAUGGAUUAAAUUUUUUUUUUUUUUGGUUCUAAGUAGGUAUAAGCUACUUUUAGUCUCUAUUCAGGGCCUACAGGAUAAACUCGACUUCACUGAUGGAUGAGGUAGUGGAGAUCGAGGUAGCAAGUGGAGAAAAACUUGACAUGGAGAAGUUAAAGAGGGGGAGAAUGAGUUGGUGCUGGUAACUUGUAGUAUGCUGCUUAAUUUGGGAUGAGAAAGUUGUUAUGAUGUCAAAACCAAAAAAUUGCUAUAAAAAUCACUAAUGCUACGAGUCUGAAAAUAUUAUUAAGCAUGUUCAUUUAGAUUUCUGAUUUAGUUGUGUCUGAUACAUUUUCUUCAUUAUCAUGAUUUUGAUGAAGGGGAUACUUGAUUUGAAACUUGAUCAAAUGAGUUUGAUGUUUUAAAAAAAGCUGAUGGGAAGUGGCAGAGUAAUACAAUAUUCAAUAACUGCUUUUAUCUUUGCUUUUAAUCGUGGAGUCUUCAGUUUGUUAGAAACCACUGAUUUAGUUUUUUAUUUUUAUUUAUUUCAUUUUUAUGUUCCUUUUUCCUCAGUGACAAACUGUUUGGCUAAGUUUGCGUAAAGCCUUUUUAUCACUAGGCGCUGAUUGUCAAACUUACAUAUAAUUCUGUCAACUUGGGUAGGUUAUGGUCAAACAAUAUGAUGUGUGCUGCAACAAGAUUGGCCAAUUUGUUACAGGCAAUAGAUAUCAUCAUAGAUGAUGAUGCAUGGUUAUUUAAUUGGAAAUACAAAGAUAAUGGUAUCUGGAUGUGUUGUUCUGUUCAGUUAAGAAGUCCUUUGGGUUAAAAGGCAGGUGUCUGUGGUGAGUAAUAGCAUGUUUCUUCAAUUUAAUACUUAAGUUGGUGUACCACUAGAUAGUGUUAGCAGUAGUUUCUGAUAUUUGGAGUUAGUCAUUUGUUUGGUCUUUGGUUAAUUGCCAAAAUUUUCAAGAUUUCUGGUCCGUAGGUCAAACCUUUUUUUAUUCAGUUGCUUCAGAGACCUACAUAAAGUGUUCAUAUUCUAAGAAAAAUGCCAGUUAGUCAUGUAGUUUGUUUAAAAGUUUUGCCCUAUUUUGGAGAAAAAUUAAUUUUUGGGGAAUCGUUGAGUUUUCCAUAUUUAGAGUAAAGAGAUCAUGUACGAGAAUUUGAAGAACCAGACUGUGGUGCUUCUUUCCAUUUGUCAUGGUUAUUAAUCAUCAUUAUAUAUGUGUUUCCACAUUUCAACUCCUUUCUAAUUUCCUAGGUAUAGUAUACUGUAAGUCCGUAUUAUAUAUACUUUAAGAUUGCCUGCUGUGAAAAUUUUCCGGAUGCUGGAGCUAUUAACAUCAGGAAUAACUUGCUGCAUCUCUUUGCUUUUUACCACCAAGUAUCUUAGCCUAAGUCUUGCUUUCCUUUAGAAUUUUGUAUUUUUCUUUGUUUGUAUACUUAAGAUUAACUUCUUUAUGCCUAUUAUCCAGUAGCUUCACUACAGGACAUUGUAGCCAGAACUUAGCCGAGAAUCACAUGAUAAUUUCUUGUGAUUGAUGUACACUUGCAGUAGUUUGAGUGAUGAUAAUUGCUGAAAAUUUUAUCGUUCAUGAUAUUAAAGGUAAAUUAGGAGUGAGCUGACAUUUGGCCUUUCAGAGGAAUUGAUUUUGCUUUGUCCUUAACGGUCUGGUAGCCUUUAUUCAAACAUUACCCAGUGAAACUUUCCAUGUGAAUUUGUGUCAUUUUUUCAAGAUUUACAAGAUGAAUGCUGUUAAUUGAAACUCUGACUAUAUAUGGCUAAAUGAUAUUGUCUAUCAUAGAUUAGCUUAGAGUAAACUGUUGAAUUUUAACAACCUGACUUAGUCCUCCAAUGUUGCUCGUGCUUCAUAAUGUGCUUCAUGUGUUGCUCUAUGGUACAAAAAGGUACAUUUUCUUUCCAAUAUACUUUCUGAAUCCAGAUGUGGAUUAGCUUACAGUUCAUUUGACAAGCAAUUACUCUUUCCUUCUUUUAAUUUCUUCCACAGCAAUCCAGAUGUGGUCAAUAUUCCUUGAUACCAAAGUUAUUUUACGAAUAGCAUAUUAGUAAGAUUCUGAAGAUUUGUUAAAAUAACUUUUGGUAUCAAGGAAUAUAAGAAGGGCAAAAACUCAAGAAUUGGCCUAAGUGAGCAAAGAUUAAUUUUAAAUAGAAUUAGACCUUUUAAUUACCCGACUUUCAUAUUAAUCCAAAACGAUAUGCAACUAAAAGUAUUACACUUUGCUUUGGUACUAGUCUUUUUCUUUUUUAUUACCAAAUUAAUUUCAAUCGAGCUACAUGGAAGGCUAAUCUGCGAAACCCAAGAAAACAAUUGCCUGCAAAGCACAAAUUUUUAUAGAACAACCUAGUGAUUAACUCUGCAUUGUUUGGAUGGUAUUGUCAAAACAAAGAAAAAAAGUUUGUAAUUGGAAAGAUAGAAGAAAUGAUAGUAAUAACCUUAAAACUUUGGUAUAUAUAUAUAAAUAUAUAUAUAUAUAUAUAUAUAAACUAUAUAUCAGAUGUACUUCCAUCUAGGUGUAAGAUAAUUUCAGAGAUUACCGCGUAAAAGAUUUGGAACCAAAGCUAUACAAAGAAAGUUAUGUAUCCAUAUGAGAUAGAUUAGCAACACUUACUGGAAAUUGCAUGCUAGAUAAGCAAUUUGUUAUUGAAAGAGUAAUUAAAGUUUGCUAUUUAUUAAUAAAAAAAUGUGAAGUACAUUAUGUACAAAGAAUGGUACAUAUUCCUAUAUUAUUGAGUAUAUAUUCUCAAUUCAUCCAUGAUAAUUUGAUAAAAGUCUUGCCUAUAUGCUCAAACAAAUGCGCCUUUGAUGAUAAUUUUUUAAAAAUUUUCCUGGAGACUGAAAGCAAAUAAAGUUUUAUAAAGAUUUAUUUAUAGAACACACCACCUGUUUCUGUAAACUAUACAGUAGCAACUGUAUAUAGAGCUAGUAUGUUCUUUUACAAUCACAUCAAUGCAGAAUCUUUUCUUUCUUCUGGAGCUUAAUAUAACGCUUGACAAUCACCACAAGGGAGGUUCCCUGUCUUUAUCAGCAGUCAGCAGCAUCACUUACACCAUGCUUUCACCUUCAUCAAUCCAAAUGAGAUCAGUUUCUAGCAUCCAAUGGCAUGCUUCACCUUGUCCAGGUGAAAGAUUCAAUACUCUGAGUGAAAUAUGAUCUGCAGGAAUUCCAGAUGUAUCCAUAUGACAUAUUGCUAGAACCUUGUUGAUAGGAACUCCUGUUUCAACUUCAACUAAGGUGAUACGAUACAGGUGUGUUGAGGGGAGUGAGUGGCAAAAAUACGUAGCAAAGGGGAAGAAAAGCUCAUGACAUGCCACAAGUUUUUUGACAUCAAAUUGUUUUAUAUUUUGAAUCAGGAGAUUAGUUCCUGAGCCCCUUCCGCUUUCGGUUGUCAAAACAGAUAAAAGGUUUUUGCCUAAAAGAGCUUUGGAAAAUCCAAGCAUCUCCUCUAAUGACUUGGGGCAGCUCUUGGUCUCUUCCUUUAUUGCUGGUGCAUUGCAAUAAAAAAUGGUACUUAAAACUGCAUCUCUUGUUGUAGGAGACCCAAAACACUCCGGAAAGAUUCUUUCAAUGUCAUUGGAGCUCAUCAUAAACUUUUUUGCUAUUGGAAAAGGAAGGAAUGAACGAUGUGGGAAUCUGUGAUUUAGAACUUUUGGUAUAUGGACUUUAUUCCCUAUUUUAAGCACUGAAAGUCGAAAGAAAACAUGAGGAUCGUCUAAUCCUUGGCUAGGAGAUAACUUGGUAACAUUUUCUCUGUAGCUACUUUGUUCAGAUUUUUGAGAUGCAUUUGCAAAGUAUGGUCCAUACGGAAUAUACUUGAUCAGUUUUGAUGUUUGAGAAGUAUUUUCUAGUCCAUAAGGUGUAUACAUAAUCAGCUUAGAUCCUCGAGAUGCAUUUGCAGCAUAUGGUCCAUAUGGUAUAUAAUCAAUCAGUUUGGAUCCUUGAGAUGGAUUUGUGAUGUGCCGGUUUUGAUCCUGAUUGGAAUAAGAACAAGCUAAUUGAGCAGUGGAGCAAAAUUUGGCAUCUGCUACAAAAGUUGGCUUGGACAAUAAUGAAUUGAAGUAACUAAAGUCUCGCUUAGACAUGGGAGAUAGUUUUGAGAGAAGAACUUCAGGCAUUGGGUUGUGCACGUAUUUGGACCAAAGGCUAAGCUGAUUAUGAGCAACAGAAGAUGGAGGAUAUGAAACAGGUGACAAAGAGGAAGCACUUAUGCCAUUGCUGUACAGAAAGUAAGCAAGAGUUAGAGAAACCGAUAAUAAAGUUGGGAUGGCCAUCCUAAUGAUUGAGGAUAAAAAUUUAUGGACUUAUAGGCUGCAUCAACAAGGGUAUGAUAUUUAUACCUGCAUUUUUUUCAUUAUGGUGUUGCUCAUUGAUCAUUCAAAGUGGUCUUUGCCCCUUGGAUAAGCUGUUGAGAAGACCACGACAACUGAACUAAGACAAUCUUUUCCUUUGUUGAACAAGAAAAGAAUUUCACACUUCGAUAAACCUAGGGUGGAUGGGGAUGUUAAAAUUUGAUUAGUGACCUGCAUAAUCAAGGUAAGGGGAAUUUCUCGGGGGUUGAAAGUAUCUUCGGGCAUUUUAAUGAUAAUUGUCGUGAUUAACAGAGUUCAUGUGAAAGUAAAUUGUUUACAUCAGCAUACUGUGCUGGAAAGAGUCUUCUUAGUGGUAUGUACAAAAGUAUUGUGAACAUUUUACCACCAUGUUUGUGGAUUUGUGUAUAUGGAUCCUGUGUUUCCACCUCUAUUAUACUUUCCUUUUUUCUUCCCUUGUACAUGUUUCACUUUCCAUUGUUACCUUCCUUCCAUCAGUUGCACUUCAUCCUCCAGCCACCUGUAAUGGUACCAGACUGAGCUAUGUGGAAUUCUCAAAUCUAAUAACAGGAAUGAAUAAAUCAACUGGAUAACAACUAAUCAAUUGAAGAGAUAAGUUGUAGAAUUGACUCAGAUAGCUGUAAUUGAUGUAUGAAUUAGGGGUUACAGAAAGGGCGGGAAAAAGCUAAGAGGAUGAACAAGAGUGAGGAAUUUGGGGGAAAAGAAACAGGAAGGGCUCAGCCCCAAUCUCUGUUGAUAUUACACAAAAAUUGCCUCCCUAUUACAUUCAAUCUAUCCUAUUUAUAGAUGACCUGCUGAUAACCAACUUCAUAUCUUCUAAUUGGCAUGACCAAGUGGCUGAGAGGCCGUUGCAGCCAAUUUGAAAGUUUGUUAUUCGAAUUUCAGUCUUCACGUGCGUUUGUUGCAGAAUCAACUUCCAGCUAAGGCGUGGUCUUGAAAUCACGCCUUCAUUUGUCUCUUCUACCUAUUCCACGUCUUUCCUCCUUCACGCCUUCCACUUGACCUUAUGACACCACCUUCGGUCCUCCAUAUCUAACAGCACAGACAUUUCACCAAAGUAAUUCUUCUACUGCGAACUACCACCAUUUCUGUAAACUCUUCAUAAACAAGAUUGAAACGACAAACUAUCCGAUGUGAAGCUAAUUUUUACAAAUUCUAAGCAAAAAUUACUCGUGAAAAUGGUAAAUCAAAAAGUAAUCUAGUAAAGAUGUGUUAGAUUAUCAUUUCUGAUCUUGUUCUUUAUCUGAACAAAGCUGCGUGGGUUUUGAGGUUUUUGAAGGGGAAAAAGCAUGAUAGAGUAGAAAGGAGUAAGAUACGGCUGAAUGAUCUAGACUAAGGUCUCCAAUAUGUCUGACUGUUUAAUUUUAGUAUCUUCCAUGAAGUAACUUUAGUAAUAAUUAAGUUUUGAAGACUCAAUCUUCUUUGUGUAUAAUUCUUGCUAGGGUUGAAAGAUAAAUCAAAUUACUCGACACUUGAAUUUGAUAGGAGUUGGUUCAAGUUUGGUUUACUAAUUAGUCAAGCCAAGGUUAAAUAGUGUUUUAUAUUUGAUAAUAUUCAAAUUUGAUAAAAAUGCUCGUUCAAGUUUGGUUUGAUAAAUAAACGAACCAAGUUUGAACAAAAUUUUGAACUUAUUAAAAUAAUCAAACAAGUUUGAACAUUAGGAUGUUCGAUUUGAUUAGGUUUAUUUACACUCCUAAUUCUUUUAGUGCAAUUUUUUCUUAAAACAUAACCAAGUGCAUGCAAGUGCAAUUUGCUUCAAAAACGUAAACUAAUGUUUAGUUAUUUGCUUGUAUUUGCUAGAUUAAAUUUCCUAAAAUUAAAAGUUUAAGGACUAAAGUAAGAGUGCAUCUAUAGUGUAAGGGUUCAAAGUUAAAUUUAACUAAUAGAGUUGUGUCAAUAGAUAUUAGAACCUAAAUUACUGUCAACAAACCUUUAAUUAAGGAGCCAACUAAGAUUUCCUAUCCUUUCCUUCACAAGUAAAUGGAAUUUUUUUUUAACAGGGAAGGGGUGGGUUUUAAGAAGCGGGAAUGAGGUAAAAGAAUGUGAGGUCAGAAUGUCAAAUUUUUUGAAUCUCAACUUUAGUCAUUAGAUCAAAGACCUCCUUGACCAAGUAAAUGAAAGAUGAUGUACUGUUAUAUGCAAAACGUGAGUUGCUUUGAGCAUCACAUUUUAUGGCCGAACUGAAACUUCACAUGCUCAAUACUCAUAGUACUUUUUAAAGAUUUUUGUAGUUAACUUUCCUCAAAUAACAUAAUAAUCUAUUGAACAAUGGCUUAUGUUCAAGGUAAUCGAUUGUAUAUCAACAUGCAAGCAGCAUAAAUGCAAAGUAAAAACAUCAAAUUGCACUUGAAAAACUUCUGCUAAAUAUCAAGCUUUUACAGGGAAAAAACAAGGUUCAACUUCUUAUGAGAACAACGGUACAAGUAUGUGAUACGUGAUUAAGCAAGGAUUCGCACACCACUUAAUUUUUAUUUGUCAGCACUAAGUGGACAAUAAGACGACCAGAGUCGAUAGGAAUGUUAAAACAACACACGCAGAGACGCUAAUAAGUAAUAAGCAGUUGUUGAGUUUCAACCCUACACCAUAUCCUUUCUAGCACCAAUCCAAAGAAGAUCAAUAUGUGUAAUCCAGUGGCACGGUUCACCUUUUCCUGGCGAGAGCUUGAGCAUGUUGAAUGCUGCAUGAUAUGAUGACCACGCGGAGGCAUCCAUAUGACAUAUUGCAAAGAUUGUAUUGACUGGAAUUUUUGUUUUAGGUUCAACUACAUCCACUGCAUAGAUUUCAGUUGAGGAGAGCAUAUGGCAAAAGUAAGUUGAAAAAGGAUGGAAUACCUCGUGACGUGACACAAUUUUUUUUACAUUAAGCUUUUUGAUUUUUUGAAUAAUAAGCUCUUUUCCUGAACCUUCUGUACUUUUAGCAGUCAAUGCAACCAAGCACUUGCUACCUAAUGUAAUCUUUGAGAAUUCAAUCAUGGCCUUGAGGGAUGUAGGACAAUUUUUUACCUCUCCUUUUAAAUCUGUAGAAUUACAAUAAAGAAGUGUAGUUUCAAUAUUCCUUUUGUGUUGGGGUUCACAAAAGAUUGAGGAAGUACUUUCUCAAGCAUAGUAUCAUCUAGAGAAAUUUUGGAUGCAAUUUGAGAAGGAAGAAAUCCAGGUUGAGGAAACUGGUUCUCCAAAUUGGAGAGAUACACUCUAUUUCCUUGUUUAAGAAUGGAGAUUCUAAGCAAGGAAAAAGGGUCAACAUUUUCAAGUCCUGGAGGCGCUUUAUGAAUAUUACAGCCGGCAUUAUUGCCUAAGGAUUUGAUGUUAUUCAUCUCCGCAUAACAAGCUAGAUUUGCAAGACUGCAAAAAUUGGCAUUAGAAGAAAAAGAUAUUUGGAUGCUAAUGAAGUGAAAAAUUCACAGUCAUCUUUAUUGAGUGGAGAUAAUUCAGACAGAAGAGACGUAGGCAUGGUAUUUUGUAUAUUUUGUACAUUUUCAUGCCAAUACUUCAGUUGUUCUGAAGCAAUAGAUGAAAAUGCUGUGCUUUUGGAAAAGCUACAUGCAGCGUAAAUGCUGGCAAUGACGAAAAGAAGCAUAGAAAAACUUAAGUUGGCCAUCAACGUUGGAGAUUUGAUAAGCGAGGAUGAAUGGAGUGGAAUAUAGCUUCAGUUCAUUCGGUAUUUAUAGUCGAACCUUGUUCAACUUUUUCAUAUUUUUCAGAAGACAAAUGAAAACUCUCUAGCCUCAGACGUCUGCCUCAUGUGAAAAGGACAUCAGAAAAGCUAGGAAUUGCCUUAGACAUAAGUGGUAAUAUUUUUAAAUAUUUUAUCGUAGGCAACCUGUUAGCAUGAAAAAUACGCGCAUGGCAGAAGCAAUUUUAACAUGUAUAAAAAUACGUGGAAAGUGGAGGAAAAUAAAUAUAUAAUAAAUACUCAAUAAUUUAUUUAACUCAAUACCCAAUAAUAACAAAUAUCAAGUAGUUUUACUCACGAUAACUCAUAAAUUUCAACUAAGAGACUUUCUCUCAAAGCUAUUCUCAAGAUUCAACUCAUCUCUUUAAAUAACAACCUAUUAGAUUGGUAGUAUUUAUAGACUGCAAAGUUUCCUAAAACAACAAUAAUUGUAAACCAAAACUUAUUUGAAAGUUAACUUGGGAUUUCCUAAUCUAAUGUAGGAACUAAACAAAUAUGGCACCAAAAAUAAUUAGAAAACUAAAUACUAAAAUAAUUUGGUUUAAUUUCUUAUAUUGCCUCCCUUCAACCAAUCUCUUAAUGCUGUCAUCUCUAAUGCCAUCACAAGCUUGAAUCUCCAUGAACGAUUCGAUCGCUCUAUAAAUGACGUAAAUCACCAACUUGUAGUGAAUUUUCAAUUUCAUUUUCAUGUGUGGUAGUGAACAAAACUUGUACUUCUUGAAUAAUUUCUUCGCUUGAUCACUCUUGUCAAAAAAUUUAAACAUAUCCACCCAUUCUUCUUCGCAUACUCCAUAAUUUAAUUUAUCCAUGUCACUAAGAAAAUCUCCCAAUAUAAAAAAUUCAUAAUUCUCACCAUCAAAAUUUUUAACAUCACCAUGUUUUUGUGUUGAUUGGUUUACAUUGACAACUGCAUCAAUCUUAGUAGUAUCACAACCUUCAACCAAAUCGUCCACUUCAUAAUUGAAGUCAACCAAUUCCAUUAUAUGAUUUUUCUCUUCAAAAAUUCAUCAAUCUUGACAAAAUUAACAAUUUCUGCAUCAUCACGAUUUUUAAUCACCUCUUUACUUUGACCAAUGAUUUCAUUUUCUUUCUCAACCACUUGUGAAAUUUCUUGUUGAGUUAUAAAUUCUUCAUCUUCAUGUGUACCCACAACUUCUACAAUUUCUUCUUUCUUUGUCUCAUUAAAAAAUUUUAUUUCUUCUUUUUUUUCUUCGUCACAAAUUUCUUCUUCACCAUGACCAUAGGAAUUUAUCAAAAAUUUCCAAGCCUCCUUUGCUGUUUUUGCAUGUAUGAAUUGUUUCACUACAUGUAACUGGAUUGGACUUGGGUGCCAAACUAGUAGAAUACCCUACAAUUCAAUUGUCUAUUCCUCUCUAAUUGUCUAACUGCAUCGCUUGAUAAUUCUGUACCUGCUAUAGGUUCCGUGAACCCCUUUUGGAUAAUAUUCCAAACUCCAAUAUCUUUGAAAAAAUUCUUCAUCAUCGAUCUCCAAGUCUCAAAAUUGUUUUUACCAUCAAAGAUAAAAAAUAGGAUAAUGUUGUAAAUAAUGCGGAUCCAUAUUUUAAUUAUUUAAUCUCCACUCAAUUUGGACCAAUUCUGUGUCCAAAUUGUCAAAAAUAAAUCUUCUGAUUUUGUGCUCCAAUUUUGCAGACUAGCCCUAGGAUCAAAGCUUAGAGUUUUGAUGCCACUUGUUAGCACGAAAAAUACACGCACGGUGGAAGCAAUUUUAACACAUAUAAAAAUAUGUGGGAAGAUGAAGAGAAUAAAUACACAACAAACACUCAAUAAUUUAUUUAACUCAAUACCCAACAAUCACAAAUAUCAAGUCGUUUCACUAAUGACAACUCAUAAAUCUCAACUAUGAAACUUUCUCUCAAACCUAUUCUCAAGAUUCGACUCAACUUUUCAACUCAACUCUUCAAAUAACAACCUACUACACUGGUAGUAUUUAUAGACAGCAAAGUUUCCUAAAACAACUAUAAUUGCAAACCAACACUUACUUGGAAACUAACUUGAGAUUUCCUAAUCUAAUGUGGAAACUAAACAAAUAUGGCACCAAAAAGAAAUAGAAAACUAAAUACUAAAAUAGUUUGGUUUAAUUUCCUACACAACCUUUUUUUUCAAGCGAAACAAGAAAUUCCUUGUUUUCUUUUUUUUUUUUUUUUCAGUUUUUGACAUACUACUUAUAUUUUGCUGUUUGGAAAACUAAAUAUAUUAUUCCUAGUUUCAUAUCAAGUACUUCUGACAAAUUGCCAUUGGAGAUUUGAGUCCGGCAAUUUUUAGUCAAAUACUUUGGUUUUACUUACCAAUUCAAGUGAGAUGGAUAAAUUUCAUAUUUACUAUAUUUCUUGUUGAUUUCUCUAUGUUGAACUUUAGUUUAGAAACUAUAUCAUCUUUGUAAGCACCAAACUACAAAAUCAAAUAGUAAUCCUUUAUGUUUUUCGUAUCUCUUUGCUAAAGAUCAAUGCACUUACUUAUUUUACAUGUAAAAGUUUAAUUGCCAAAACUUGCAUAAAAUAUGUAUGGCUAGAUUUGAAAAAAGUUCUUGUAGACGAAGAAAAUUUAUUUAAUUUAUUUAAUUUAUUUAGUCAGGAUUUAUUUAAAUUAAAUCGAUCUUGAUUAAAUUAAAUUAAAUUAUAGAAGUCCAUUAUGUUUUGGACUGGCAAAUUGGGUCAAUAUUAUAUGAGCUAUUAAAUCAAAUUAAAUUCAUAAUGUCCAUUUAAGUUAGAGUGAAUUGAUUGCUUUAUUAAUUCACCAUGGACCAUUUGGGUUGGCCCACUAUUUAAACCCAAAUUAAAUGGAUUUCUUUACCCAAAAUGCAGGAAGAUUUCUGGAGGGUUUUCUUGAAGACUUAGCAUACAUAUUUUGGCUAUAAAUAGAGGUCUUCUCUCAAGGCAAAGAUAGACGAGAAAAUUUCAUAACUUUCGAAGAAACUCUGUCAAAUUUUCCCAAAGAGCUUUCUUCCUCCAAUUCAAGUCCAAAUCAAGUCAAACAAAUCCUCCUGCUAUCGGUGUUGAAAACUUAAAGUUCCAAGUGUUUGACGCCAUCAUCAAAUCAAUCGUUUUUUACGUCGAAAUUGUAGAAAACACCCUUUCGAUUGGAGAACAAGUCUUUUCGACCCUUCAAUUGAAGCUAUUCGAAGAAAAGAAUCAGGGGAUUGAUUUCUUUGAUUCAAGAACUUUCAGAGAUUGUAACCCGCUUAUUAUUUGAUUUAAUCAAUUUGAUAUUUGUGCAAGUUUUCUUGUCUUUUAUUUUAGGCAACAAAAUUUGUACUUACAAAUUUCUGGCACGCCCAGUGGGACUAUCUCUGCCUCUCAUCUCUUUUCUUUCAACAACUUAUCAGUUUCAAAAUUCAAUGGAGUUCAAGAAGGUGAACUUUUCUCUUGAAGGCUUAGUUGCUGAUGUCUCAACCACUCAAGAGACGCAGUAAACUGCACCUCUGACAAGGAGUAAGGCCAAGAAAUUAGCAGAGAAGCCAAGGCGAACAUUGUGAUUGAAGAAGCAAACCUCAAGAUGCUUCCCAAUAAGAAAGGAGCCCAUGAUGAAUCUAUUGAUAGCCCAAGUGAUUCGGCUGCCUCUGUGGUGAUGCCCGUCAUGAUGACCAAUAUCGCAACUGUGGAAGAUCAGAUUUCAAAUUUAGCCAAAAUUGUCGAAGGGCUAGUAGUUUGUCAAGAUGCCAAGAUAGUCAAAUUAAUGGCUAUCGUGGAAAAUAUAGGCGAAAAUAGCCUUAGUAUGUCUAAACAGAAAUCCAAAGUGCAAGAUGAAAGUGACUCAUCAUCAAGGGAGAAGGAGAAAGAGGAUGCGAAGUCACAAGCCACGAAAGAAUUUUCAAUCUCCCCUGAUGGCACUAUUCAUGUUGAUAAUCUGAAGAAAUUUAUCGAAGGCACCAUCAAAGACAAGAUUGGUGGAAGUGCCAAGUCAUAUAGCGGUUACACCAAACCUUAUACCGCUAGAGUGGAAAGUUUGAAGAUGCUCAUGGGAUAUCAAUCUCCAAAAUUUCAACAAUUUGAUGGCAAUAGCAACCCUAAGCAGCAUAUUGCACAUUUCGUGGAAACCUGUAACAAUGCUGGCACUGAUGGUGACUUACUCGUUAAGUAGUUUAUUCGCUCGCUGAAGAGUAAUGCCUUUGAUUGGUACACAGAUCUGGAGUCUGGAACCAUUGACAGUUGGGAGCAGCUAGAACAUGAAUUUCUUAGUCGCUUCUAUAGCACAAAGAGAACUGUCAGCAUGACUGAACUCUCUAAUACACGUCAAUGGAAGAAUGAACCUGUCAUUGAUUUCAUCGACCGUUGGAGGAAUCUAAGCUUAAAUUGUAAAGAUCGAAUUUCUGAAUCUUCUGCGAUCGAGAUGUGUAUUCAAGGUAUCCAUUGGGGACUCAGAUACAUCUUACAAGGUGUACAACCAGAAACGUUUGAUGAAUUGUCCACAAAAGCCCACAAGUUGGAAAUUAAUCUUGAUGAACAAGAACCGUCAGUUCCUGACCCUCACAAGGUCAAAGAGAGAUAAGAAGCGAGGAAAGGGGGCAAGCCACCAUUCAAAAAUGAAAAGAAGGAGGCUAUGGCUACAAGUAUAACACCUUUUAAGGUCGUUCCCAAAACUGUCAGGAGAGAAGAUAGGAAGAUCAAUGCACAUCAAGAACAAGGAAAGAGGAAACCGAUUCUCAAAGAGUAUCAUUUCCUUGAUUCUGAUGUCCCUGGUAUGUUUGACGAUCUGUUAAGUAUAAACUUGAUCACGCUUCCUGAGAUGAAGCGACCCGAUGAGGCCAGGAACACUGACGAUCCAAAUUACUUUAAGUAUCACCGAUUGGUUGGGCAUCCCAUUCAAAAAUGCUUUGUCUUCAAAGACAAAGUAAUGAAGUUGGCGAGACAAGGAAAAAUUCUCCUUGAAGAAGACAAGGCAAGUGUGAAUCAAAUGUCCAUUGAUUCUCUGCAGUCUAUGGAGAUUAAAAGGGUCAUGGUCGGUAUUGCCAAUAAUUCAAUUUGGUUCGUUCGAUCCCAUAGAAAUCGAACAAGAAGGUACUCUUUCAACUCUUCAGGAACAUGUCUAUGAAGAUGAGAAGGCAUUACAGCCCGAUGUGGAUGAUGAAGGGUGGACUUUAGUCACGCGAAGAAGGAGGCGAUAAUCUAGUAAGGUGAACAAGGCCUUAACAAGAAGUCUGGUCAUCUGGAAGGGGAAAGAGAAGAAUGUAAAGAGAAACAAUGAUUGUCGCAACCUUCAAGGAAGUCGAAGCUGCAAGCAAAAGUUACGAACUCCUAUCACUCUUAAAAGUGUUCAUACCAAAAGAAUUCUUUGAUGUUGAUGUGGUCGAGAGUCACACAACCUGAGUAGAUCAUGUCAAAAAAUAAAAAGAUAAUACUUGCGAAUCUCUCUGUAAGAUAGCCUGUGUGCCUACCAGCAAUGAAAGAGGUCAUGUGCCCGCUGGCAAUGAAGAAGUGAAUGUCACAAGUAUCACUUUCACUAGUGAAGACUUGUUGCUUGGGUCAACACCGCAUAACCGCCCUUUGUUUGUGACCGGCUAUGCAAAUGAACAAAAAGUGAAUAGAAUUUUGAUAGAUGGAGGUUCUGCAGUCAAUAUUCUUCCCUUCAAGACUCUGAAGGAGCUCGGCAUCCCGGUUGAUGAACUCUUCAACAGCCGAUUGAUGAUUCAAGGUUUUAAUCAAGGAGGGCAAAGAGCUCUUGGAUCACUAAAUUUGGAGAUAGUCAUUGAUGACAUGUCAUCCAGAGCCCUGUUGUAUGUGAUAGAUGCUAAAACAACAUACAAUGUACUACUGGGAAGGCUCUGGAUUCAUGAAAAUGGAGUUGUACCAUCAACUCUUCAUCAAUGUUUCAAGUACUGUCAAAAUGGGGUAGCAAGAAGUGUGAAAGCCGAUGACAAUCUUUUCAUUGAGGCGGAAGCGUAUAUCGCUGAUGCCAAAUUUUACAUCAAAAGGCACAAUGCGAAGGAUAAGUCUGAGCAACCUCUAUCUGUGGAUAAAAUCCAGAACCCCAAAUCUCCGAGUGUAAAAGGGAAAAAACUGAUAAAUUCGAAGUCAAAAGAGGAAGUUCAUGAAGAAACUGAUGUUUCAUUGCCAAACAAUGAAUCAGUUGUCUUUCGUUACCCUUCCAAGUCAAGAAUGAAACAGGAACAGUCACCUGUAAUUCAGCAUAACGCUCUAAGAGAUUUGACUUUUCCGGUAGUUCAUCUUGAUACAAAGAAGGCUUCGUUUCCUCCAUUUAAAAGGUUUAACCUUUUAAACAAAGAAUCUGAAGCCGAACAAGACAUCAUACCAAAGUCAAGAACCAAAGACGAUUUUGAUCCCAUUGCUUAUAAACUUCUCGCUAAGGCUGGAUAUGAUCUCAAAGAAUCUGCUAUGUUAAAUGUUCCAUCUCGUCAAUCUACUAGUGACAUGAUGCAUGGGUUGAAUCCUACCCAAAAAAUGUUGAAGGAAAAAGGAUAUGCCACUGAAAAUUCCAAAUUUGGUCUUGGCUAUUCCUCUCCUACACCAAUCCGCAUCAAGAUCAAUAGAGCUAGUAGUCAAUAUAUUACUGUGGAGGAUGAGUCUUCUCAAAUAGCUGGUAAAUUUCAAACUUUUCACGGAAAGGAGAAUAAAGAUCCACGGGUAUCUGUUUUUAAGAGAUUAGGACCGCAAAGAAAAUAAAAGCCUCAAAACUCUCAUAGGAGUAAAGAAAAAAUGGCAAAAUCAUUGCAAAAUCUUGAAGAAUCUUCUGAUUGUCCUCAUAAAUUUGGUAGCAUCAUUUUCUCGAGAAUGAGAAGAUGCACAGACCUUAUAAUAAAGUGUGGGACUGAAUUAAGGGUCAGGGAGCAUACUGUGGUGUACACAAGACCAAAAGAGAAUGAUGAGGAGAGUGUUGCUUCAUGCAAUCAUAUAACCCUAAUUGGCGGUGACUCUCCUGAAGAAGAAGAAGAUGCUGAAGACGCUCCACCUGAAUUGGAAGAAGGUGUUAAGGCUACUGUGAAAGAUCUAAAGGAAAUCAAUCUUAGUACUUUAGAGGACCUGCGUCCAAUAUACGUAAGUGCUUUAUUGAGCCCCGACAAAGAGAAGGCAUAUAUUGAACUUUUGCGGGAGUAUCAAGAUAUUUUUGCAUGGAUUUAUAAAGAAAUGCCGGGUUUAGACCCAAAAAUGGCCGUCCACCAUUUGGCUGUUAAAAAGGGAGUUCGACCUGUGAAACAGGCACAACGGAGGUUUAGACCCGAUUUGAUUCCGUUGAUCGAAAUUGAAGUCAAUAAACUUAUUGAACCCGGGUUUAUUCGUGAAGUUAAAUAUCCCACAUGGAUUUCGAGUAUCGUGCCUGUGCAAAAGAAGAAUGGACAAAUCCGCAUCUGCGUCGACUUCAGGGAUCUUAACAAUGCUUGUCCCAAGGAUGACUUUCCUUUAUCGAUUACUGAACUCAUGAUUGAUGCAACUACUGGACAUGAAAUUCUGUCAUUUAUGGAUGGCUCUUCAGGAUAUAAUCAAAUUCGACUGGCACCUGAGGAUGAGGAACUCACUGCAUUUCGUACUCCUAAGGGUAUUGAUUGUUAUAAAGUAAUGCCCUUUGGUCUAAAAAAUGUUGGAGCCACAUAUCAAAGAGCAAUGCAAAACAUCUUUGACGACAUGCUUCAUAAAAAUAUCGAGUGUUAUGUGGAUGAUUUAGUCGUUAAAUCAAAGAAAAGAAGUAAUCACUUGGAGGGCUUGAGACAAGUUUUUGAUCGAUUGAGAAGGUAUCAACUCAAAAUGAACUCUCUCAAGUGUGCAUUUGGAGUCACGUCCGGAAAAUUUCUUGGUUUUGUGGUUCGCCAUCGAGGUAUUGAAAUUGAUCAGGCCAAAAUUGAUGCUAUAUUGAGAAUGCCUGAAUCUCGUAACAUUCAUGAAUUGAAAAGUCUUCAAGGGCGAUUAGCUUAUCUGCGAAAAUUUAUCUCAAAUUUGGCAGGAAGGUGUCAACCAUUUAGUCGCUUGAUGAAGAAAUAUGUGCCAUUUCAAUGGGAUGAGACAUGUAGUAAUGCAUUCAAUAGCAUUAAGUUUUAUCUUAUGAAAGCACCUGUUCUGGCUGCACCUAUUCAUGGAAAGCCAUUACUUCUUUACAUUGCUGCUCAGGAACGCUCAGUGGAGGCAUUGCUUGCACAAGAAAAUAAUGAAGGAAAAGAGGUUGCCCUUUAUUAUUUAAGCAGAAUGUGACCCCUAAUGAACUAAAUUACUCGCCGAUUGAAAAGUUGUGUUUAGCUCUUAUUUUUGCAAUACAGAAGUUAAAACACUAUUUUCAAGCACAUAGUGUGAGGCUCAUUUCUAGGGCGAAUCCCAUGAAAUAUGUGAUGAGCAGGCCAGUAUUAUCCGACCAUUUAGCUAGAUGGUAUCUCCAUCUACAACAGUUUGAGAUUAUUUAUAUGCCUCAAAAAGCUGUGAAAGGACAAGUUCUGGCGGAUUUUCUUGCUGAUCACCCUAUACCUGCUGAAUAGGAGUUAAGUGAUGACCUACCAGAUGAGGAUGUACUCCUUAUUAAGAUUCGCCCACCAUGAAAAAUGUAUUUUUAUGAUGCUGCACAUCGUCAUAGGGGUGGAGCGGGGAUUGUAUUCAUGACUCCUGAUGGAGGGAUAUUGUUAUACUCUUUUACCCUAAAUCAACAUUGUUCAAACAAUGUCGCUGAGUACCAAGCUCUCAUACUCAAACUUGAAAUAGCUGUUGACAUGGAGCAGUUGGAACUUCAAAUCUAUGGUGGCUCUCAAUUGGUGGUUAACCAACUCUUGGAAAGUUAUGAAGUCAAAAAGUUCGAAUUAAUUCCGUAUCACAAAUAUGCAACACGACUUAUGAAGCGGCUUGGAGGUGCAAGUAUUAAACAUGUUCCUAGAAGGGAAAAUAAGCAAGCUGAUGCAUUAGCUGUGCUAGCCUCUUCACUUGCCAUGCCGGAUCAUGAGAUACAAGUUCAUGUAUGCCAAAAGUGGGUAGUUCCAUCACUAAUUGAUAAUGAAAAUAUUGAAGGAGGCGACGCUCAUGUGGUCUCAACCUGUUAAAUUGACAAAGAAAAUUGGAGACAACCUCUCGUUCAUUAUCUCAAGUAUCAAAAAUUACCUGAGUAGCAACGUAGGAGAACUAACAUCCGUCGUCGUGCCUCUUGUUUUAUCUUGUACAAGGAUACGCUGUACCGAAGAUCAUUUGAAGGUGUACUGUUGCACUGUCUAAGCGAAGACGAGACAUAUCGGGCGAUGCACGAGGCACAUUCUGGAAUAUAUGGAGCUCACCAAUCCGGUCCCAAGUUACAUUUUCGGAUUAAAAGGAUGGGCUACUAUUGGCCUACUAUGGUCAAAGAUUGCAUAGAAUAUGCUCAAAGAUGUCAAAUUUGCCAGUUUCAUGCAAAUUACAUUCAUCAACCACCUGAGCCGUUACACCCGACCGUUGCCUCUUGGCCUUUUGAUGCUUGGGGCCUUGAUGUUAUGGAGCCAUUACCAAAGUCGUCUGGUCAACACUUAUAUAUAUUGGUUACGACCGACUACUUUUCUAAGUGGACUGAAGCCAUACCGCUCAAGCAAGUUAGAAAAGAAGAUGUGAAUUUUAUUCGUGUGAAUAUUAUUUACCGUUAUGGAGUUCCUCGAUACAUUAUCACUGAUAAUGAAAAAUCCUUCUCCAAUACCUUGAUGGAUAAGUUGUGUGAAAAAUUUAAUCUCAAGCAAUGCAAGUCUUCCAUGUAUAAUGCCCCCGCCAAUGGUUUCGCAGAGGCAUUCAACAAAACUUUGUGUAAUUUGUUGAAGAAAGUGGUGGCCAAAUCAAAAAAAGAUUGGCACAAAAGAAUAGGCGAAACUCUUUGGGCCUAUUGUACCACAUACCGAACUCCAACGCAAGCCACACCAUAUGCCUUAGUCUAUGGUGUAGAAGCUGUUCUGCCCCUUGAGAAAUUCCUUCUUUGAGAAUUGCUAUCUAAGAAGAGCUCACGGAGGGAGAAAAUGUUCGCCUGCGCCUUGAAGAAUUGGAAGCUUUAGAUGAAAAGAGAUUAGAGAUCCAACAAAAUCUGGAAUGCUAUCAAGCUCGUCUCUCUAGAGCCUUCAAUAAGAAAGUUCGGCGCCGCUCCUUUCAAGUUGGGGACAUGGUACUUGCCGUUCGAAGGCUAAUAGUUAUGACUCAUCACACUAAGGACAAAUUUGUCUCUAAAUGGGAUGGGCCAUAUAUUGUUCGAGAAGUCUAUACAAAUGGCGCGUAUAAACUGGUGGACAAAGAUGGUGUAAAAGUUGAUCCUAUAAAUGAAAAAUUCAUGAAGUUAUACAUGCCAUAAAAAAAAUGAAGCACUCCAUGACGCAUGAGUCUAAACUGCAUGUUGCUCCAGACCAGCAUGAGCUAAAACUGUGGACAACAACCACCAAUAGUGUAGCACGUGGUUAAACUGCUGAAACACUCCACCAAAUCUAAGGUGGUAAACAAAAGGAUACUCCUGACCCGCAAGAGUUUAAACUGUGAACGGUAGGAAUUACGUGUGACUUGAUUCCCUUUUGGGAUACGUAGGCAGUUUAGAAGGUAUCUUCUAAAUUCAGUUACAACCCUAUAAAACUAAAGUCUUUGUCUGGAUGAUUCUUUUGAUAAAAAAAAAGAGAACGUUCAUCUUUAGGACAGUUCGAAUUAUUUUGUGACAUAUACUUGAAAGUGUAUUAUUCAGAUUACCAAAUUAUUUGGAUAAUUACCUUUUCAGGUGUGAUCAAAAUUAUGCAAAGGUGAAAUUAUUCAUACUAUGGUUGAUAGCCUAAAAUGGUGGCUAUCGAAAGAGUAAGUAAGGACGAGGGCGUCUGCAAGAAUGUGAUGAAAAGAAAAAAAAUCAAGUUUCAUUAUGAAGUGCUUGUACUCAUAGCUACACGCUUUGAGCAAUUAACAAAAGAUGAAAUUUGAAACAAAGUAAAAGAUUGCAACUAUUCCUAAAAUUCAAAUGAUGACAGCUUGUUUUCAAAUAAUACUUGCAUCUUGUCCAAAGUUUGACUCUUCUCAGCAAGUAGGGGAGGGGAAUUCUCAAUUUUUCGAAUUUCAUUUUAUAAGUCGACCAUCACGCCUUGCACCCGGGUAAGUUCAUCUUGCUCUUCUCGUAGUAGUGAAAGCGUCUCCUCCUGUGAGUAUCCAAGCACUCAAGUCGCUUCUUCAACAUUACUUCCUCACGAUCAAUCUCCUUAAGUUUCAACAUGUGCAUUGAGAUCUUUUUCGCUUGUUGUUUCUCCUUACUCUGAGCAUCUUUAAGAUGUCGAAUGGCCGUAGAAAGUAACUCAUCAUAUGAUUCAGUUGAAAUUUUAUUUGAGAGAGAAGAUUUCACUGUCACGUAACGAGCUGCAUUUGCAAAGAAAGUCUUUAAAAGGCCUUGCAAAUUUGAGAUAUCCGUGGCAUUAAAGCUUUGCAUUUCCUCCAUGAUCUCAUUGGCUUUCAUUUCAAGAGCAGGCAUGCGCUCUAAGGCUGUUUGAGAUAUCAUCAUCCUCAAGUUAUUCCACAACAUUUGGAUAUAGUCUCGGCGACAUGUUGAAAUCACACUUUGGGGGCAAAAUUCAGACACUUCAGGUGCCCUUAGCCACGAUGGUGGAUCGAAAACAGUUUUCUUUUGGCCGAUGGAGUCAUAUGCUCCGCCUUCUGUGCCAUGAUUUGCUGAGUCACAUUUUCAUCCUCUACUGUCUUUUUGGAAUUCUCACUAGCACCUUUUUGUUGAGUAGAACUGAUCACUUGUUUGGCCAAAAGUUCAAAUGCAGUAGGUCCUUCAACUGAUACUUGACUUGGUUCUCCAUCAUCAAUGAAGAUCAAGUCUUGAUCGUCCAACUGUAGGGAAAAUGUUGUGAGACAAAUCAUGAAUAUGAAAUUAACAAAAAAAUUUCAAAUGCUAGAUUAAAGAAGGCAGGGAGGGUCCUUACAAUAUUGGCACGGCUUAUACCAGGCACAGAUAUAUUCGGAAUGUCUUUAAAGAGUUCUUUAGGAUCUAAACCAAUAUCAUCCAAGGGGAGAGUCAUUACCUUGGACUUCUUGCGUUUUCAAUGCUGAUCCGUGCUGGUGGAUUGCUCAUCCUCCUCAUUAGAAGGCUCGCUCCACUUCUUCUCAUGUGAACUGCAAGAAUUAUGAUCAAUAGCCUUCACAAUGUUUGAAAGAAGAUAAAAUGAAGUACCCUUCGAAAAUUCUUCAUUAGGAGUAAGGUUCUCAGGGAUAGUAGCCUUGUUGUUUGAACUCUUCAAAAUUUCUUUCUCACUUCUCAUAGUCUUUUGCUUCAUCUCAAGACUAUUGCCAACCUUGGAAGGAUUGUUUAGGUUUGCAAGUUCCUUCCCUUUCGACUUCUUCUGCUCCCCAUUUGAUUGGACACUCUUAAUCAAAGUAUCACACCCUUUGAGGAGAUGAUCAUCAUGCACCAUAGCCCACCAUGUUUGAAAGCCUGAAGAUGUGUGUUUGCUAACAUUCAAGGGAUAGCUAAGGAAAAGUACCUUUGACUCUGUUUUACUGCGAAUGGCAGUGCGCCAGAGUAUUCGACUCAAGUCAUAACUUGUGAAACGAACAUCUGCCUUGAGUUCCUGUGGAGGAACUUGAUAAAAACCGAAUUUCUGCGCAAAUCUAUAUGGACUAUAUGGCUCAAUAAGGAAAUCCCCUUCAGCAUGCAAAACUAAGUAAUUUGAGCAGGCGCUUACAAAAUAAUUUAGUUCGAGAUUUGCUAAUUUGUCAUUGUCAAUGAAAAGCUCAUUGCGAUUUUUCACAAGAGAAGUGAUUCCCCAAGUUGCUUUGUCUCCCUGAUGAAUGAGGUCACGAGCACUAUUUUCAUCAAAAUACCGUGCGCCACCUUCUCCAGAAUAGUUGGUCAUGGUGGGUCCAGGCAUGGCAUUUGGAGUCGAAUAAUGGGUAGAGAAAUAAUUCGCUAACCAAGCAUGUACAUAGUGCACCGGAAAAGCAGCACGUGCACACCCUGGAGUAGGUGAGUUUGAAAUAUUGUUAAGCCCACGGUAUAUGUUUAGCAGGACAGGAACAGCAAGGCAGGUCUUACGACCGGCAGCCAUCGUACUAGCCAUUUUGAAAGUAGAUGGUCUAAUAUGAUGGAGCUCCUCAUCUGGUAAAGCAAAGACACAGAGCCAACAAGAUAUAAAUGUUGCAAGAUAGGUCUCUUCCCGCAAGUGGAGUUUAACUCCGAUGGUGUCAAAUACGCCAUUGUCUUGACUUGAAAAUUUGCGUGGUUGUCCAAUUUCGCCAUCCGGAUUUUGGGUCGUUUGAGCACGAGAUGCCCUCUUUAUCCUUCUCUGCUUUGGCUUUGAAUACCUGAUUUUGCCUUUAAACCAGAACUUAAUCCAUUGGGCAGUAGAAACUCCAACUUUGUUGGAUUCCUCAUGUUGAAGAUGAUGUAAGGCUGCGAACAAAUAUUCGCAACUUUGUGGAAUAUGCCUUAAUUUCUUCUCAUUUACUCCAGUUAGCUCCUCCGCGCAUGGGAUUAUCUCUUCAUAGAUACCUCCGAUGAUUGGAAGUCCUCCUAACUUGUGCAGGUCCCAAAGUGAGAGAGACAAUUCCCCGACAGAUGUAUGCAAGGUAUUAGUGUCCGAGCACCACGUCUCGCAGAAUGCUCUAAGUACAUGGGGAUUCCUAUCAUAUGUGAAAAGUGAAGCAUAUAAGGCGUCAAACAAGUAAUUUGCACGGAGCACUUGUUUGCUCCUGCCGAGAAUAUCCUCCAACCACUCCCAGUAAUUCUCGAUGUAACUGAAUGCACCAUUAAGUCUCAAGGAAGGACCCCAGUGUGCACCUCCGUCUAUGAUCCGCCUGCCAAGGGUUUGAAAAGGAGUUGUCCUUGGCUCCUUAUCAUGAAUAAGGGAUUUUAAGGAGUGAACCUUUGUGCCAUCAUCUUGAGAAAGCUCGAGUGACCAAUCCUUCAACUCUGGGUACUGGUGAGAAGGCCACUUACCCGAGUAAGAUCCUUGUAUAGGGGUAUGCACCAAUAAUUUCGUUCUUUUGUCAUCAGAGUCGUCAUGACUAUUGGCGAUAAGGAGGUACCUUUCGUUUGAAGUGGUAACUUCCUUGAAUAUUGCCAUUUCGUCAAGGCUAACCUGCAUAAAAAAAAGGGGUUACGAUGGUGCGAUCAAAGAUAGUAAGUGAAGUACUAAGUCGUUAGAAUAGGAUAAAUAAAGAGAUUUCUAGGGCGCUGGUAAGCUCUUGUUGAGGUGGACAUUUGCGCCUCCUUUAUAUACUCCUCAAGCCAUAAUAUGGCUCUCGUGGGAGUUUGCGGUUGCGCCUUCUUCAAAUCUUAGUCGCACCUUCUUCACGUACUCCUUAAGCCAUAAUAUGGCUCUCGUGGGAGUUUGCGGUUGCGCCUUCUUCAAAUCUUAGUCGCACCUUCUUCAUGUACUCCUCAAGCCAUAAUAUGGCUCUCGUGGGAGUUUGCGGUUGCACCUUCUUCAAAUUGAGGGUCCACCGUGUGUGUUGUCGCAAAGGAUCCUCUUCUCAUAUCACAAAAAAAUAAAAUAAAAUUGACAUUGACAAGAAAUAAAAGCCAUAAGGUAUGUGAAUUACCUUAGCGUUUUGACCUCCAAGAGCUAUGGUCCUAAAAUUGUGGACACAAUUGGAACGUCAAUUUGCUUCAAACAAGCUAUGCCAACGUCAACUGCAAAAAAAAAAAGAAAAAAAGAAGUGACGUGUGGCAUGCAAUGGCGGGACAAGUUCUUAUGGUGGGCCAUGCUUAUCUUUAAUAUCAAGUACGGCAUUAUUUAGUCACUGUGGUGGGUGAUGUUCCCUUCUUAUCACACGAAGUCAAAAAAAAAAAAAAGGAGGAAGAAAAAUCAUCAACGACAAAUCUUGCCUUGCUUCGCAAGAACAGACAUUCAAGAGAAAGACGUGGCGUGGGGCAUGUGUUGCUCUAACCAAUUAACAUCAGCAAAAUUGCAUGCAAAUAACUUCAAUUGCAAUUUAAAUAAAGAAGCAGUAUGGACCUGGCCGCGAAUCAAGAAGGCCAUGGUAUGCAGCAAUGGAAAGAAAAUGUGUGCACUUUGCAUGCAAGAGAGUAAUUAGAGCUUAAAGUUUCUUGGCCCCGAAUUCAAUUGUUAAUCUAUGCCCAUUAAAUUUCAAAAGAGCAUUUAGAUGUCAACAAUUUGGGGACACUAAUAAAACCCGAGUUCGAAAAUUUCAAUCCUACAAGCAUAGCAAUCAUUGAUUAUUUUAUGAAAGUUUGUCCGCUUAAUUUGAGGCAACAAACUGUCACCUAGUUUCACUGGAAGACAAAAUUUCAGUUUGGUUCAUGGCUCAAUUCGGCGAAUUUCGAUUCGGCAAAGUGACUUAUAGAGACUCAACAUUUAAGCAAGAGUGAAGAUGGGUGAUACCUGAGUAAUGCGAGGCCUACUUGUGGUGAAGGCUAAUAUCUUGGUGCUUGCAACCCGAGUUACUUGGAGUUAUGUGGAAGUCAAGAAUGUUUAUAGCUUGGUGAUUCAAUCUUGAAGGCUUUUGUGAUCACCGUAGGCUUGAUUUAAGGUAAGUUGAUGAUUUCGGAAACCAAGGUUCGAUGCAUGUUUUCGGGCAAGUUCUAGUUGUUUUAAAAAUCGUGCAACUUGGAAAUACGAGUUCGAUAGCUAAUUUAGAAGUUACAUGUUGACUUCAAAGAAUUUAUAAUGGAGCUAGAAAGCUAUUGAAACUCGCGAACCUAAGUUGAUUAAUUGGUUUUGGCAAUUCCAGAUUAAUGAGCAGUGAUUGCGUGGAAAAGGUAAUUGCCUAGGUGUUGGUUUGAGCAAUUACUUUUUCUUAGCAACAUAAAGUUUGGACAUCUAAUGGUUUGCCGCAUCAUGGAAUAUGGAAAUGAUUGAAAGUGGUAUCUUUCUAAUUCUCUUGGAAUCAAUUGCAAGUCAAAAGGGAAGUGGUCUUUUGAUUCCUUAAAGGUUGAAGCCACGGGAAUCAUUAUUCUAUGCCCAAAUCAACUUGAGUACAAAGCCACACCACGAGAAUUUUAGCAACUUGGAUCCAAUUUCCAAACGAAGCAAUGCCAAAGGAAUUCCAAAUUGCUCAGCUUCAAGACGAAAAAAAGAAAAGAGAAAUGAAUGUAACUUGGAUCCAAUUUCCAAACGAAGCAAUGCCAAAGGAAUUCCGAAUUGCUCAGCUUCAAGUCUGCCACAUGUAAUUUUGAGUGCCGAAGUGUGAAGACAUUUCCUAAUCUUUGCACCACGUUUCGGCUCUCUAAAGUGGAAGUUUCAUGAUAAGUAUUGAAUGAGAAAUUUCCACCGAACAAAUUGGUAGCCAUGCUUUGAUUAUUAAAUGUUUAGGCGGUGCAAUGGUCAUAGAAGGACUCCUAAUGCAAAUAAAGCAACAUUGAAGUUGCUUAAAGUGAAAUUAAAUGAACAGCGCCUACUAGAACUUCCAGGUGAAGAAUGUCUAUGGUGCAAAGUCUUCGAGGGACACGGGACCAUUCUUGUCGGAAUAAAAUCGAUUGGAACGUUUGAGCUUUAAUGUUUGGUGUCUUUAAUGUAUUGCAACUUUAAGUUAAUGGUAGUCACUUGGACUAGUCUCCAAUGGAAUUCCAAAGACCAACAGAGCAGCAAUUCGGGCAAUACAAUUGGCUUUGGCAAUUGCCAAGCCAUUGAGUUUCGAGACUAAUUGCAACAAUUGCAUUGUAAUGACAUGGGGAAUAAUCCUAUGCAUCACACUUUGCCGUAGACCACAUGUAAUUCGUGAAUGGUGUAGACUUUUUUUAUGAUCUUCGAUCACAUGUAUUAACCCAGGCUCUUGUUGCUCGCCCACCAAAUCGGCAAAGGAAUUGGCUUCUUGAAAAAAAAAAAAUCAAGUACUUCAAGUCUCAAUUACAUCCUUGACAAGCAAGUCCCAAUUGAGUCUUGAAGUGGGGGCAUUUGUAGACGAAGAAAAUUUAUUUAAUUUAGUCAAGAUUUAUUUAAAUUAAAUCGAUCUUGAUUAAAUUAAAUUAAAUUAUAGAAGUCUAUUAUGUUUUGGACGGGCAAAUUGAGUCAAUAUUAUAUGGGCUAUUAAAUCAAAUUAAAUUCAUAAUGUCCAUUUAAGUUAGAGUGAAUUGAUUGCUUUAUUAAUUCACCAUGGACCAUUUGGGUUGGCCCACUAUUUAAGUCCAAAUUAAAUGGGUUUCUUGAGUUACAAGUUACCCAAAAUGCAGGAAGAUUUCUGGAGGGUUUUCUUGAAGACUUAGCCUACAUAUUUUGGCUAUAAAUAGAGGUAUUCUCUCAAGGCAAAGAUAGUCGAGAAAAAUUCAUAACUUUCGAAGAAACUCUGUCAAAUUUUUCCAAAGAGCUUUCUUCCCCCAAUUCAAGUCCAAAUCAAGUCAAACAAAUCCUCCUGCUAUCGGUGUUGAAGACUUAAAGUUCCAAGUGUUUGACGCCAUCAUCAAAUCAAUUGUUUUCUACGCUGAAAUUGUAGGAAACACCCUUUCGAUUGGAGAACAAGUCUUUUCGGCCCUUCAAUUGAAGCUAUUCGAAGAAAAGAAUCAAGGGAUUGAUUUCUUUGAUUCAAGAACUUUCAGAGAUUGUAACCCGCUUAUUAUUUGAUUUAAUCAAUUUGAUAUUUGUGCAAGUUUUCUUGUCUUUUAUUUUAGGCAACAAAAUUUGUGCUUACAGUUCUAAACAAGAAUGAACAUGAUGGAAAAGAUAAACUCAAAGGAAAUGAUGCAAUGAGACAAGGUAGAUGCAGAACCUUUUUCUACCAAACUUUCAGGCAACCCUUCCUUUACCUCUCUCCAUGUGUAGCUCAGUUCUUCAGGUUUAUAAGCUUGUUCUAUUUUUUGGGAAACAUCACAAGAUUAAGAUGCCAAAGCUGUACUCUUUAAACCAAAAAUGACUGAGCAUUUCUGUACCUUUUGCAUUCUAAACCCUGCUUGAAUCAAUGCAAUCAACUAUCAAAUUGGUAUUUCACAAACUAAUGACACGUAAGAACAAAUGAGUUUUUGUUCAACUAAACCAAAUUUGGAGUCUAAAUUAAAACAAUUAAUUUGAUAUGAAAAGAGUAAAAUUGUAUUGUGCAAGUUGUAUGUGUUAUACAACAAUAGUUGGUCAUGUAAAUCAGUAGUGAAAAUAAUGAUACUUGUGAAGAGAAGAAGGAAUAUUGUGGUCGAUCUAAGAAGUGGCUGAGCACAAAAAACAAAAAAAUGUAGCUGAGGAUUCUUUUUUAUUCUUUUAAUAACGUAAUUUGUCAGAUUAGACUUAUGACUUUACUUAAUGAUAUAGCAUUAACAUCUCCUUUGUCCCUAAUGUUUUAUCGUAAUUAUCUGAAAUAAAAAGUCUAUAGGAUAGACAACUAGCGAAAGCCAAAAGCUCUUUCUACGUAUAUUCUUCUAGUCCUCGGAUAUGUGAAUGUUAUAUAUAAUCUUGCAAUCACUAGAGCUAGAAAGUUAUUGUAAAUGAAUUCAAGGAGAAAGUAAAGAAAAAGAAGUAAAAACAAGUGUAGUUAAAUCAGGAACUUGGUAAUUAAAUAUUAAUGCCCCAAUGAAAUUUUGCAAGUUUCACUGGAUUAAAACUUUUUAAAAAAAUGUUUUCUCCCCAUUUUGUGUAUAGGACAAUUUUCUAGCUUCCUCUUUUGUACUUUUCCUUCAUUUCCUUCAUUAGAAGAAAUGUUUCCCUCCUAAAUAGAGAAUUAGAGCCAAAGUUAGUCUUACAAUCAUUUAUUUAGUUAUACCAAAUUUCUUUUGAAUUCCCUCCUCCCAAUCUGCUGGAAAAUAGUUUAUUUUUUCCCUCUUAUAAAGAUUAUGUCCCUCCUAAAUUAAUAGAGAGUGUCGCUUAUUGGAGCCAAAGGUCAUAGAAAAAAGCCUCUUAAUAGUCAUAAUCAAAUUGACCAAUUUGAUUACCUCCCAAAUUACCCAUGUCAAUUAGUUUUACUUCCUCUUUUUUUUUUUUUUAUAAAUAUUAAUUCCUUCUUAAAUUAAUUGAGAAUAUUGCUUAUUGGAGCCAAAGUUCAUAAGAAAAAGUCUCUUUUAAGUGUCAAAAUUAAGUUCUUAAUAAGACAGUAGAGCUACUUUUAAGUGUCCAAGUGUGCAAAAUCCAGUCAUGGAAAAGCCCCUAUUAUCCUUCGUUUAUCCAUUUACAUUUCUUGGCAGAUGGAGAUGUUUUGCUCCAUGGUUGUUAGCUUAUGACAUUUGAUAUUUUUGUCUAUACUAUACUAUUAGGCUGCUAUGGAUUAAGGGAUUUGAUGAAAGAUUUAAUUUCACUCAAAUCUUUCUAGUUGUUUAGAUUACUUAGGAGGUAUUUGGAUGUAAAUCAUUAAUUAGUAUAGUAUUUAAAAUGUAUUUAGAUAGUUGAUGAAUUACAAAUCCAAAAUAUCACCUAAACAAUUUAAACAAUUCAAACAAUUUGGAUAGAUUUCAAAUAGUUCAUAAAAUUUCUCAAUCCAAACUAAGCCUCCUAUAAUUUUGUGAAUACUAUGUUGAUAUUUGUUUAUAAGAUACGGACAUAUAAUCCAAUGGAGACUUAUGCAAGAGAAAUAGCAAUGUCAUGAGGUAAGUCCUUUUUUCUUUUGUUGCUGUAAAACAAGUAAUUUAUAUGUGUUUAGCAAUUUUUUUUUGUUCUUUCUACAUAAAAUACCAUAAUCAACUUCCUUCACGGUAUUCAAUUAUAUCUAUGUAUAUUUUUAGUUGGUUUGGUACUCUUAUAUAUAAUUACAUGUUGACAACUUAGGUUCGUGAGUUUUAUGGAUCAAGUUAGUAGCCAAACAAGCCAAAACUCUCGAACUUAAACUCGAACUUAUCCUUUAAAUAUACUAAAAAAAUGUCUUCAAAAUAAAAAUGUUUGUUCGUUCAAAAUCAAAUGUCUGUUCGUUUACAGCCAGAUAUCCGUCACUAAAAAUUUUCUUCACAUAUUUUUAGUUUGUUUCAGUACUGGCUCCAUUUUGCUUUACAAACAUACAAAUCUAGUGUACAGCACUUGGGAUCCUCGGUGACAUGUUUUCUAUGCCAAUCCAAUACCACCUAUAAUAUUGUGCCAAGUGUCCUAUUAUUAUUUACACUUGUGUUAAACCAAAUCAAGUUGAAUUAUUAAAAAAUUAAAGUGUAAAUAAUAACAGGACACUUGACGCAAUACUAUAGGUGACAUUGGAUUGGUAUAGAAAAAUAUGUCACCGAGGAUUGGCAAUAAGUGUACAGACAUAUAUUAAUAUAACUGCAAAAACUUGGAUGGGCCCGGUCUAUGAACGACUUAUGGACCCUGUGGAUUUUAAACAGCCAGUCGCUCUUUGUAACCAAAGUUAAGCAGAGUUCCGUUCUUGUCUGCUUCAACAAAAGGAAUGAAAACGAAAAGGCCGUAAAGAAACCUAGCUUUGGAGAAAUAAACCCAACUAUUCUCCAGAUUUAAAUUUUCUCCUCAUUCAUCAAGUUUCUUCUGGAAAGCAAUAGAAGAGAGUUUAGGCAAAUUAAAUUACAUAAAUUAGAUACUUCUUUGGGCUUUGCUGUGUUUAUGGAGAAGAUCAAUUAGAGGGAGAAAGAAAAAAAUAAAAACUUUGAGAGAUUGUGAAGAAACAAAAUCGUCAAGGGGAAUGCAGAUUGCCAUAUGAGAUACUUCCAAGUGAGUAUCACAAAGAUGUAUACAUAAUUAUUUACACAUCUAAUAUUUCUUAUGACUUUGCUUCCUUUUUUUUUCAUCAAGAGACAAAAUUUAGCCUUUUAGCAUUAGUAAUUGCAAGGCCCCCCACGGAUCUCGUUAAUUUUGCAUCAGAUCUAGUUACAAGAUUAAUAAUUAGUUAUAGUGUAUUUUCUUCUGUUUUGAUUUUGCUUUGAAACACAAGAAAAUUUUAUCCAUUAAAAAGGUUCAACUUAUGUUCUUUUUCUCUUUGAUUUUUCCUUUUUUCAGAUUAUGAUAGUGAGAUGAAGUUGUCAAUCCGGCAUGAUGAAGAUUGAGUAUGCACGGAAAGACUCUUCUGGACAAAUCUUAGAAGACUUUGUUGCAUCAUAAAAUUGUAAAUUUUGAGGAUUUUUUUUGGAAAAAUUAUUCAAAACGUCCCUUAUAUUUUAUAAAAUUAUUUUUUUGUUCCUUAUUUUUAAAAGUGUAAUUUUGGUAUCCCUUACAAAUUCAUAUUGGUUAAAUUUGGUCCCUACCUAAAUCUCUAACUAAUUUUUGAUCGGAAUCCACCAUGUACCUUGCACGUGAUCAUUUUUUAGGGGAUAAAUUGUCAAAUCACAUUUCACAUAAUCUUAUUCAUAGUCUCCCAUAUUUCAUAAAAUAAUUUUUUGUAUUCCUCAUAUUUCACAAAAUGAGUUUUGUCAUACCUCACAUUUCACAAAAUGAAAUUUUCAUCCCUCACUAAUAGCUUUAUUGUAUUUUGAUGCCAUAUUCUCAAUUGCACAUGGUGGAUUAGGCAAAAAAAACUAGUCAAAAAUCUAUUUAAGGACAAAAUUUGACCAAUAUAAAUUUGUAAGAGACAUAAAAUUACACUUUUAAAAGUGAGGAACGAAAAAAAUUAAUUUGCAAAAUGUGAGAGAUGUUUUGAAAUUUUUUUUUAUUGGAUUUGGCUUUGAAUUAUCUAUGGGUUUGUGUUGGGAAAUUAGGAAACUUGGGUAUCUAGAGAAUUUUGGGUUUGGGUUUGGGUUUGGCUUGUGUAUGAGUAAUCAUGUGGCUUGCUGAAGAUUUGACAUUCAUUCAAGUUGAAGUGGAAGAAUUUUAUGCAUGACUUGUUUAUUUUUCAAAAAAGUGGUCUUCUGCUAUCUAAAGUAAUUAAGUUCGUGUCUUCCUUUCAAGCAUUCAUUGCGAGCGUGCUAUGUUAUGUAACCAUGGACGGUGAAUGGAGAAAGUGAGAAGCAUUUGUUCAAGGCUAAGAAGCAAGAGUUUGGCGUGGCUGAUUAACAAGCAGAAGAUCCGUGGGUGGGGCCCUGGACCAGGUUCAUCCAAGUUUUUGCCAUAUAUAAUAAUACACUUAUGGUUAGGGGUGGCAAUUUUCGACACGACCUGAAAACAUGACAUGAAUCUAACACGAAAUUAAUGGGUUUGGAUUGAAAUUUCGUGGGUUCGGGUCAGAAUCGAGUUGAACCUGAAAAGAAAACGGGUCGAAUUCGGGUCAAUCCGUGGGUAAUCCAAUAUGACCCAAUAAUCUGUUUACGAAUUAAAAAUAAUUUAAUAAACAAAAAAAUUAUUUUAUCUAACUAAACUAAGUUAUUCUUUUUUUCCAAAGGUAUUAAUCACUUAAUCCUAAAUGAAUUUAUUUGACUUGUGUGAAGUUGAAAUUAUUAUAUUUGGACAAAUAAUGUAUUAUAUUAUUUUUUACUUUUAUACUGUUUUAAUUUAUUUUAUAUUUGGUUUGGGAUAAAACACUUUUACGAUGUUUUAAUUUAUUUUAGAUUUGGUUUGAAAUUAUUUAUUUAAAAUUUUAUUACUUGAUUAUGUAAUUAAUCUUGUACGAAAUUGGUUUUAUUAGAAAUUACAGUGGUAAAUUAAUAAAUUAAAUUAAGUUUCGGGUCAUUUCGGAUCGAUCCACUAACCCGAAAAUUUUGGAUUUGGGUUUGGUAUCCUGACCCAUUUCGAGUUGGCAAGUCAGGUUUGAAUCAGCGAGUUUUCUGUUAUUCUCGGAUCUCAACCUGACCUGUCAACCCAAUUUAGACCCGAUUGCUACCCCUAUUUAUGGCGCUUGCAAAAACCACUUGCCCGACAAAUUUGAAACUUUGAACUUUCUCUGCCCUUCUGCCCAUUUGGCGUUUCUUAUAAUCCAAGACAGUUUUUUGGAGCCCCCUUUUUAAGUUCGUUUGGAGCCAUUGAAUCUAGUAGAUUGAAUCAUUUCUGUCUGCUAGUCCCAUUUGGCCUUUCUCAGUUAAGUUGAUGUGACUAUCAGUUCAGGUUUUCAUCAUCUUUAUGCUCAAGCAAAUGGGAUUUUGGUCAAGUGUGAACUUCAUGAAUUUAUGCACACAAGUGUCUCGUUCUGUAGUAACCGACAAAUUUGAUAUCAUUGGACAUCUCAUAGUAUGGAUAAGUACUUAGGCUAUUAUUAAAUAAUUAGUGAGGAUUAAUUUUACUUUUCGCUUCCUAACUUGUGAUCUCAUUUUCACUUUGUAUGUUAAAUCCUCAUUUAGAUACAUUACAUUCUAAGUCUUCAAAUUUAUCAUAUUUUAUUCAAUUGUUGACAAUGUUAAGAAAAUUAAUGAAACUUUUGUAUGUGCAGACGACACACAUAUUAAUCAGCCUGUCAAAUUCAACUUGUUAUCCCUUACUGAUCUCACAAUUGUUCAAAGUUGUGUCAAAAGAUAUUAGAACUUUUGCCCACAAAAUCUUAACGAAGGGUCAACUGAGAUUCCCCCUCCUUUUCGGUCAACAAGUAAGUGAAAGUUGAUGUGUACAGUUAUAGUCUCAUAGAGAAAAUCAGAAAACAUGAGUUCCUUUAAGCAUCACAUUUUGUAUCUGAAUUGAACAUUCAAAUGAUAAUUUCUGGUUCUUACAGAAUUACUGUUACCUUUUCUGCAAUAACAUAAGCAUCUGUUUAAACUAUGUGUGAAAAAAAAUUAUGCUUUACGUUCAUGGUAACGCGUUAGACAUCAAUAUGCAAGCAGCAUAAAUACAAUGAAGAAAUAUCAAAUAGCCAAGAACAAACUUCGAAUAUAUAUCAAACACUUACAGUGAAAAAGAAGGAUCAGCUUCUUAUGAAAACAACAAUACAGAUAUACAAUACAUGAAUAAGCAAGGAUUCAUACACCACUUUUAUUUGUUCACAGUAAAUGGAGAAUAAAACACUCAAAGUUUGUAGGAAUGAUAAUACAACACAAGCAGAUACACACUAAUAAGCAAUUGUGUUCAGGUUUAACCCUACACAUUUUCCUCAGCACUAAUCCAAAGAAGAUCAAUUUGUGUCAUCCAGUGGCAUGCUUCACCUUUUCCCGGGGAGAGCUUGAGUAUCUUGAAUGCUGCAUGAUAUGAUGGCCAUGCAGAGGUAUCCAUAUGGCAUAUUGCUAAGAUUGUAUUGACUGGAACUUUUGUUUUAGGUUCAACUACAUCCACUGCAUAGAUUUC